rnacentral:lncRNA from 1 species
UGCACCAAAGUAAAGAAGGCAUGGCUUCAAAUCAUCCGAUAAAUGACUGUAACUCAGCUCAAGCGUCUUCAUGCAGUAUUCGUCAUCAAGGACAAUACUGGAAGUUAGACUCUUCGCAACUUCUUCCCAAUAGUCUUCUGCAGUAUUAUCAAGAAUUCCAGCAACAAGAACAACUGUGAGAGGUAAGCCCCUACAUAAUUUUGCUAUUUGAGAUCCAGCUUCACCUAAUGUCGGAGGAAAACCAUCUUUGCCAAAUAGCUUUUUCUGCAGCAACGUCCAACUCUCUUCAUCAGUAAGGUGGCGGAGAUGGUGAGCCUUGGUAUCAGGUUUGAAUUGCAAUUGAAUUCUGCUGGUGAAGAGAAUCCGACUUCCGUUAGCAUCAUCGGGCAAUGCUCUCUCCAGCAAAUUCCAUGCCUUAAUCUCCCACACAUCAUCCAAAAAAAUGAGAUACGUAUUUCUCUUUAAAAGUUUGUACAGCUUGUGAACCAAAUCACUUUCAUCCAUCUCAAGAUAUUCCCCAGGACUUCUAGAAGAAAUACUACAUAAAAGCUGAACUAACAAACUGUGCAUGCUAUACACUUGAGAAACAGUACACCGAGCAAGGAUAUGAAAGUGGCUCAAAAUUAAUGGAUCAUUGCAAACUCUAUUGGCCAAUGUUGUCUUACCAAGUCCAGCCAUACCCACAAUUGAAACAAAAUCCAACAGCUUUGAACCCCUGGUAAGACCAUGAAUAAUUGCCUUUACCUCAUCAUCAAGACCCACCAGAACUUCAUUCAACAUUGGGGUGCGACAUUUUGACUCAAUGCGGAAAGAUUUCUGGGUAGUUCUCUGAGCUCCACAGUCAUGCAUCGUGCUAUCAUAGGUUUCAAGGGCCUCAGUCCUCAAAAGCUGGAUAUCUCUAGCAACUCUUUCCAAAAAUUCAUGUUUAUCACCAACCACGAUAGAGUCAAUGACAAACUCUGCCCUGUGCGCAACCUCCAUAACACGACUCCAAAGAGCUUGGAGUUUUCCAUUCCGGUUGCGCUGGUCUGCUAUCUUGACAAGGAAAGAUCUUAAGAAUAUGAGAUCUUCUAGGACUGUGUGGAUUUGAUCUUUCGGGAAUGCAAUUGAAUCAUCAGUCUCACUACAAUUUUCUAGUUCCUUCAGAUUUUCAAGGAGAAAAUCCAUAGAGCCCAACUCAUUGGUCCUAGGAAAACCAAAUGGCGAGAAUAAUGUCACUGGAUCAGUAACUUCUGCCCUAACAAACUUGAGCACUUUAAGCAAAUGAAAAAGAGCAAGAUCGGUUUCCUUGGCCAAGCCUUCUUCGAUUUGAUUCACAGAAAGAGAGAAAAUUACAACCGCUGCAUCACAGGCCACAACUCCAAUAAGAUUCUUCAUUUCAUGGGAUAGCUCUUUGAACUCCUCCUGAUGCCUGAGAAGGAUUGUCAGGAAUCUUAGCCCCUCAAGGAGUUUUAGUAUUUGAUUCAUAAUCGGAACAAGAAUAUUGGUACAAGAUCUCAGCAGCUCCUUAAUAUUGUGAACGAGACAAUCCAUAAAGUCAGCUACUAGAUGCUUAAUCUUCUCCAGAUCUGAAAUGUCUGAUGAUCUUGAUAACUUUGCAGCCGUCAAGACAUGGAUGUAAGUUUCUCGGAUCCGGGGAUCACCGGGAUUAAUCUUCUCAUCUAUUAGUCGAGAAAUUUGAAGUAUCAUUUCCUUGCGUUCCUCAUAAUUACCUAUGCCUUUGUUAAACCACCAUAUAGAAGCUAGGCGUAAUGUGUUGAUAGACACCACUUCGGCGUGAAUCAAGAGAUCUAUCAAUUGCUGACCCUUGACACAGCAAAGCAUGGCAAAGCGAAUGAAACUCUUCAAGAACAUUAGCUUCUCGUUGAGACGUUUGGAAUCGAAUACGUCAAUUUUCACCACAUUCUCGGAAACAGAAUCGAUGAAAUCAAUAACUAGCUCUGGAUCUCGCAGCCAGUAACAGUCCAGCAGAUAGUUGAUGCACGAUUCGUUGAUAUCUGUUUCGAGAAACAACUUGACUGCUUCCAGGAAUAUGGUGAGCUCACUUUCAACACGAGUCGAAUGAAGCGAUCGAGAAUGAUCCGAGCAUCCGCUGCAAGCAAAUUCAAGAUCUUGCAUUCUCCUGGUAAUCAGAUCUUGAAUUCUUGAAGACGUAACAUCCUUCUCCUUCUCAUCUUGUUCCAAACAGGUUUCAUGGUUCCUCCUCCUCCUACACUUUGUCAGAUACAGAUCAAAGCCUUGUAAUAGUCUUACCCCCGUCUGCAGCCUCCAGAUAAGAUAACCGCACCGUUGGGUUAUACCAUGCAAGCAGCGAAUAUAUUCUAGAGCGAGCUCAAAGCAACUACGGCUACUGCUGCAGGAUAUCUCCAUUAUUGUAUCUUCUAUUCACUCUGAGAUCAAAUUUGUAUCUUGAACAAACAUUAGUUCAAUGUUUACAACUUUCUCAUGAUAUGAAAAUAGUCAAAUGUUGUCGGCAAGACUCCUAAUUUUCCUGGCCUGGCCUGUGGAUACAAUGGGGGCCCUUUCCUGGGGCCUAAAGGGUUAGCUUUUGUCUACUCUCGGCCGAAGUGCGUUUCCAAGCAAACGAUGCCAAGUCUAGAUGCUAAAGCAGUAAAUGUUUCAUAAUACUUGCUGUCCAUUUUCGAUACCUACAAAAACUGUAAAUAAUUUUUACCAGAAUGCAAACACAACAGUCAAAACUGCUCAUAUUAUAUUAAUAUCUUGAACCAUUUUUUCAUCAAUACCAUCAUUAUCCUUGCCAAUGCCAACUCAAUUAGAAGUUUGAGGGCACCUAAAACUCUAGACAUAUUAAGGUAACAUCUAAAUCUAAUCUAAACUACUUAAAGCCGCGAAGCCUGAUGAACAGUUAAUUGUGCCGGUUUCACUGUAAUUGCGCAUCCGAUUGCGUCCUUUUUGGUAUUUUCGAAACUCCUUUUGGAGCCUCCAUGCACCGCUUUUCCUUCUUGUUCCACUUGGAGCCAUUUCUUUUUUCUUGCUUUUUUUCCAUUCUGCCCUCUUCGCUUGGUUCGUUUGUAAUUUGGCAAUCAAUUUUGUCCUUUUGUUUCUUCCAUCUUUUGCUUCGUCCGUUUCCCUUGCUAUCUUCCACUGUUCCCCAUGCCUAUAUUGACCUUGCUUUUUUCCCAUUGUGCCCUCUUCUCUUGGUUGAUUUGUAAUUUGGCAAUGCAUUCCGUCCUUUUGUUUCUUCCAUCUUCUGCUUUGGUCGUUGCUGUAUCCCGGAGCUCUAUAUUAACCAAUUUCGUUAGGAUACUUCAACAAGUAAGAAUACAGGUGUUUAUACUCUAAUUACUCUGUUUGUUGUCAACCAUGAGGGUUCUCAAGAUUGCAGUAACAAAAAAAAAGGGAAAACUGCAUAAAUAGGUCUCACUAUUGAUUUUAGGAGUUUUUCGAAAAAGAUGCAAAAAUUCAUUUUGACUAACUAUAAUUUUUUUGAUUUUUUUUGAUACAACAUAUAAUGUACACUAUCAAAAAAAUGAUUGAAAAAUAUAUCAAGAAAAUAAUUAAAAAAUGAAGAUAAAAUAUUUUUUAAAUUAGUCCAAAAUACAAUGGGGCCUUCGGAGGUUUUCAAAUAAUAAGAAAGUUUUAUAACCAUGACCAAAACCACUAGGGGUUUAGUGUAUUUUACCCUUGAGAUCGGAAUUGUACCUUGACUAAACUUAGUCAAAUAUUGUGGGCAAGACUCUUUCUUCUUUUCCUUGUUGCAGCUUGCAAGACUCUUAUCGUCAUCUAUCGGCUGGAGACUUCAGGUCCGUCUAACUCUAGGGAUGGCAAUUUGUGGGCAACCCGUCCCUAUAAUAAUGAUAUUAUUAAUUAUAAGUAUUAUAUAAUAUAUAUAUUAUUAUAUAUAAUAUAAUUAAUAUUAUUUAUUAUUUUAAUAGUUAUAUAUAUUAACAAAAAACAUUAAUUAAUUAUGUUAAAUUUAUUAAUAUAUUAAUAUAUUUAAUAUAUAUAUAAUAUUAAAAAUCAUUGAAAAAUGUAUCAAGAAAUAUUUUAUAUUCAUGAUUGUAUCUUCCAUUCACUUUUUUGUCAAACUCGACAGAGUGACUUUUGCAAUACGUAAAGUAACUCUACAGGAAAUCAUCAAAAGCCGGUAACUCUUGAAAGUUCCUGAGGACCCUAAAUACCAAUGUUUUCAGAAUCGGACCGGACCGGUCGGUUCGACCGGUUGGACCGCGAACCGGCCAUGUCACCGGUCCGGUCUAAUGCUAAAGCCGGAAGUUCAUGGAGAACCGUUGAAACCCGGACGAACCGGACGAACCGUGCGAACUGUUAAGAACCGUGAACCGGCGGUUUUUUAAAUUCUUCAACAAAAUAUCAAGAAUGGUGUAGCUAAGAUUCGAACCUGGGUCUCCAAGUUUAAAUAUGACAAUCUUACCGCUAGACUGUACUUAAGUUUGUUGAAAAUUCUACUUGACUAAAAAAUAUAUUAAAACAUCAAGUUCUUCUCUUAUUUUUUUUUUUCAAUUUUUUCUUCUUAACCAUUUUUAACCCAAAUAUCCACAACAAGAUUUUCUCAAGUUUUCACCAUUAUUAUCAGGUUAUUAUCUUUAGCAGAUUGUAAACAAGUUGAAAAUUUCAACUUUUCUUGUUUUCCAACAUUUUAGUAAGUUUAAUUUUUUUCUUUUCAAGGUUUUUUUCUAUAUUAUUAUCUUUAGUUGAUUUUUUGCAUUUUCUUCUUUUUCCCCUCAAUUUUCAUAUGUUUCCCUCAUUUUUGUUUUAUUUUUAUUCGAUUAAUUAAGGAUGAAAUUUUUGCAAAAGUAGUGCACAUCCGUGUAGGAAUUGGGUAGGAAUUACAAAUAAUAACAUUGGGUUGGUCAAAAAUAUGGUAGUUGGCACAUAAUCGAAGCUAUUGAUAAUUGAAUUUAAAAUAAUUAAUGGUAUAGGAUCAUUGAAUUUAAUAUAACAUGUUAAUUAGUAAUGUUUAGUAGCAAUUAAUUUUUUAUGUGUUUAACUGUAUAUUUGUUUUUCAAAAAUUUUUAGUUUUUUUUAGUUUGAGCAAUUAGAUUUAUAUUUUUAUAAUAAAAUUUUAACUUUUUCAGCUUAAGUUGAUGAAAUUGUGAAGGUGGUGUGGUUGCUUAUCAUGCCACUGAUAAAAGUUUGCUAUUCAAAUAGUUUGUCUUAACUUGAACUCUUUUAUGGAUUUUUUUAAGGGUUGUAAAAGAAUUUCAAUAUUUAAUUUAUUUAUUUUUUGUGUUUUUAUUUGUGAUAAUUGGUGCACAUUUGGAUUGUAUCUAUUUAUGUUUAUAAUGAAUUUAUGAAAACUUGUGGUGAAUUAUGAUAUUUUAAUUAUAUUUAUCAUUCCAUGUUUUGUGUAUAACUUUUAGAAAAUUUAUUAUUAUCAUAACUUAAAUUAAGUUAUGUUGGUAAAGUUCAAGUGUAGAAUGAAACCUGCUUAGUACUUAACACUAAAAAAAAAAAAAAAAAAAAAAAAAAAAAAAAACUGUGAACCUUUGAACCGGCCGAUUGGACCGGUCAGACCGGUCGAACCGCGAACCGGCCACCUCUCCGGUUCACUGACCGGUCCGAGUUUAAAAACAUUGCUAAAUACUACCCAAAUGGUUGUAAAAGAAUUUCAAUAUUUAAUUUAUUUAUUUUUUGUGUUUUUAUUUGUGAUAAUUGGUGCACAUUUGGAUUGUAUCUAUUUAUGUUUAUAAUGAAUUUAUGAAAACUUGUGGUGAAUUAUGAUAUUUUAAUUAUAUUUAUCAUUCCAUGUUUUGUGUAUAACUUUUAGAAAAUUUAUUAUUAUCAUAACUUAAAUUAAGUUAUUUUGGUAAAGUUCAAGUGUAGAAUGAAACCUGCUUAGUACUUAACAAAAAAAAAAAAAAAAAAAAAAAAAAAAACUGUGAACCUUUGAACCGGCCGAUUGGACCGGUCAGACCGGUCGAACCGCGAACGGCCACCUCUCCGGUUCACUGACCGGUCCGAGUUUAAAAACAUUGCUAAAUACUACCCAAAUCCACCCCCCCCCCCCCCCCCCCAAACUCGACUACACAGCUAACAGGAUUUGUACCUUCCAUUCACUCUGAGACCGGAUUUGUACCUUGACUAAAAUUAGUCAAAUAUUGCGGGCGAGGCUCUUUCUUCUUUACUUGUUAGUUGUUGCAACCUGCAGGACUCUUUUGUCUUCUUGUGGUUGGUGGAGACUUCAGGUCCCCACCCCGGGGCCUAAACGAGGGAACUUUUACCAACUGUCGGCCAAAUUGCAUUUCCAAGCAAUGGACCGCAUAUAAACGAUACCCGAUUCGAGGCGAUUCUAGACCCUAAAUGCAGUAAAUGGUUUAUAAUACGUGGUUGUUCAUUUUCAAAGAAUGUAAAAUAGUUAUAAUACUAAAGCAAUUAUUAAUAUUAGGAGUAUGAUCAAUCAUUAUACUUUUAUAUAAAUUACAAUAAUAAUAUUGAUGGAACUUGUACCAUUUAAGGUAGGAAUCGAAGUAAUUAUUGAAUAAGGUAGGUUAGACUCACUGAUAAUAAAGUAUAUUAAAUAAGGAUAUUUUAAAGAAAUUAAAAAUUAAUUAUAUUUUUUAAUUAGAAAGUUAAUUAUAAUUUAGGAUGGAUGAAAAUGAAAAAUAAGAUUAUUAAAAUGGGACGGAGGAUGUUAUCAUCCUAUUAGAGCAGUAUUAGUUAUUCCCUCUUCCUAUAAGAUAAGGUCAUUUUUCUUUUGUGAUCGUCCUAAAUUAUGAACUUGUUAGUUUACCAAUUUAUUGCCAUGCCCACAUUUAAUGUGCAUCUUUAUCAAUAAAUAUAUUAUUAAUCAUUCUAAGAGUAACAAAUACAUCACUAAGGCUAGUAUUAGCGAAAUGACAUAUGAGGAAAUUACUUAGCGAAAAAGAUUGCACAAACUAUACAUUAACUUACGUUUUUAAUCAAUGUAUAUAAAACUAAAAGUUAGCCUAAAAAUUAGGAGCAUGAGAUUUAUUAGAUAAAUGAAGUAGAGAAAGAGUGAAAAAUAUAGAAAAGUAAAUUUUUUUUUUUUUGCACAUUAUCAAUGUAUGCAUGUGCAGUAUUAAAAUAUCUUCCCUAAAUAAGAGUGCAAGUAGCUCACAAAGCAACAACAAAGAAGAAGACAAUGCAGAAGACAACAAAGAAGAGUGCAAGUUGCUUCCAAGAACUCCAGACGGAGAAAAGACUAAUAACAAUUUAUUGAAAUGAUGCAAACACGACAAGACACCAAGGUAAAUACUAUAAUGCCUUGGCCAUUUACCCAAUCCACUAGUAGAUAUUAAGCAAAAACCCACUAGAAAAAUGUAUUAUUUGUUUUGCUAUUUACCCAAAGGAAAUUCUAACCACGUAUCUCCUUUGAGGACAAUAGGAUGGAAUUAAUUUAGUUGCAAAGGGACGAGAACAAGGUACAUAGAUGUUCGGUUGGACGUUUAUCUUCUUUCUUUUUUUUUUUUUGGGUUUUAAAAUCAAACAACACAUAAACCAGAAAAGAAUUUCAAGAUAUUAUCCCAACAUUGAAUUUUCCAGCUGUAAACAUACAAAACUGAAGAAAUAAAACACCCUUUAAAAAAAAUAUUGCCCAUAUUCAAAAAUGGCGUGCAACUUUUCAAAAAUUCAUAAAGUGGGAAUAAGAUUCAAAAAUGGUGUGCAACUAUUCAACCAAUAUUAAAUGUAAUAAGAUUCGGCUUAAAUUACAUACCAAAAUGUCCAGGUGGAAAAACUCAUUGAAUUCCUUCUCCCUUUCCCUCAGUCACCAACUUUUAACUUAUUCCAAUAAACCAGAUACACAUUCACAGUUAACUGCCAUUUUUAAAGAAGCAAAAAGGCACACAAACAGACAGACUCACACUCUUACCUGCCAUUUUUUCAGAAAACAAAAGAACAAGCACACAUGCACGAUUACCUGAACAAAAUUUCGCAGCAAGUACCAUGUAAAGUUCCAAAAACGUUACUAUCAAGAACAACCAUUGAGAUUCUAACCAAAAGUAGUGGAAAAAAAAACCUGGCCCAUAUUGUUUCGAUUUCAAUUUCGAUUUUGAUUCCGAAUUCAAUUCGGAAUUUAUUCCGAAUCCAUCGAAUUUGGAAUCCUUUUUUCCUUUUUUUCUUUUUUGUUAGACAUAUUGUUUUAUAUUAUAAAUUUUAUAUUACAUAUAUUAUAAAAAUAUUAUUAUGAUUAUAAUAUAUAUUUAUAAAAUGAAAUUGAAAUAAAAAAUAUAAUUAUAUAUAUAAAUAAAUAUAUAUAUAUUAUAAAACGAAAUUGAAAUCGGAAAUUUCGAUUUCGAAUUCCGAUUUCAAAAACUCCAUUAUCGAAUUCGAACCAAAUUCGCUUAAUUCGAAAUCAAAAAUUUCGAUUUCAGUGCCGAAUUGCGAAUUACCGAUUUUGAAAAUUCUGAAUUCAAUUUGAAUUCGAUCAACAAAUCGGAAUUUUUUCAUUUUGCACACUCCUAGGAUUUUUAGAAGUCAUAACCUCAUGUGGCAACCCCUCCUUCAAAACACGAAUACUUUUGAAAAUGCACAGCCUUUCCAAGGCAUUAAGUUUAUAAAUGCGCAGUCCUCUCAAGACAUUAAGUUUACCACAUUCAGAAACAGUUCAUGCUAACAACUAUAAGGGGGUGCUUGGUUGGAGGGUAUAGGAAUCAAGAAUUGGAUUGAGUCCCAAAAUUGUUGCUUGGCUAAUGGGUAUAGGUUUUGAAAUCUUGGAAUGAUUCGUGAAAAAUCAGCCACUCUCAAUACCCAAGUAGAUCGGAGGGUUUUGAUGAAUCCCACCUUUGAUUCCAAAAUCUUAAAAAAAAAUUAUUUUUGGAAUUUUUUAAAAAUAUAUACUGGCUCUGUUUCUAUAUAUUAAUAUUUAUUUAUUUAUAUAUAUAAUAUUUUUUAUUUCAAUUUUGUUUUAUAAUAUGUAUAUUAAUAUAUAUUUAAUAUACAUAUAUAAAUAUAUAUAUAAAUAUACAUAUUAUAAAAAAGUUGAAAUAUAUAUUUAUAUAAUAUAUAUUUAUACUUAUAUAUAAAUAAAUAUAUAUAUUUAUUUCAAUUGAUAUAAUAUAUCUAAUAUACAUAUACAUAUUAAUAUAAUUUAUAUAUAUAAUAAAAUAUAAAUAUUAAUUGAAAUAUACAUAUUAAUAUAUGUUAAUAUACAUAUUAUAAAAAAAAUUGAAAUAAAUAUAUUUAUAUAUUUAUAUAAAUAUAUAUAAAUAAAUAUAUUUAUAUAAAUAUAAAUAUAAAUAUAUUUUAAACAAAAUUAUUUAUAUAUAAAUAUAUAUUAUUUAUUUCAAUUGAUAUAAUAUAUAUAAUAUACAUAAUUGACAUAUUAAUAUUACUAUAAUUUAUAUAUAUAAUAUACAUAAUUAAAAUAUACAUAUUAAUAUAUAUUAAUAUACAUGUUAUAAAACAAAAUUGAAAUAAAUAUAUUUAUAAAUUGAAAUAAAUAUAUAAAUAAAUAUAUUUAUAUAUUUAUGUAAAUAUAAAUAUAAAUAUAUUUAUAAAUAUAUUUUAAACAAAAAUAUUUAUAUAUAAAUAUAUAUUAUUUAUUUCAAUUGAUAUAAUAUACAUAUUAAUAUUACUAUAAUUUAUAUAUAUAAUAUACAUAAUUGAAAUAUACAAAUUGAAAUAUACAUAUUAAUAUAUAUAUUAAUAUACAUAUUAUAAAACAAAAUUGAAAUAAAUAUAUUUAUAAAUUUAUAUAAAUAUAUAUAAAUAAAUAUAUUUAUAUAUUUAUAUAAAUAUAAAUAUAAAAUAUAUUUAUAAAUAUUUAUAUAAAUAUAAAUAUAAAAUAUAUUUAUAAAUAUUUAUAAAUAUAUUUUAAACAGCAAAUUAAUAUUUAUAUAUGACUAUAUAUAUGGUGGAUGGGUAUGUGGGAAAAGCAUUUGAACGAGGAAGAAGAAAGAUAUGAAAAGCAAAAAGAAAUUAAAGGUAAAAAAUUGAUUAUUAAAUUUGAUACCCAUUCCUUACCAAUAUUUACCAAGCACGCCCAUUUGUAAUCAUACCUUUGUCCAAAACCCAUACUAAGUUUUUUUGUAUGAUUCCAAUUACAAUUCCAAUUCCUAAGCUUGAACCAAGCGCCCCCUAAGUAUAUAUCUGAAUGAAACCCAAGCAUAUUUAGAAGACUUUAAUUCAAGAAAAUUCUAACACUAAAUAAAAAAUGCACAAAAAAUAAGACUUGCCGAACAUCAAAACAUACUAGGAGCACCUGGCUAUUUUAUUAGAGUAUUGCUAUGUAGAUAUUUACAUGGCAAGAAAACCUGUAAAUAACCAAAUUCACAGAUAUGAAUUUAAAUUAAUAUCAGAACACAACAAAAAAAUCCACUCAAAUUGAAAUUACUGAAGUAGUGGACUUCCCAACUAAAAAUUAGCGUCGGAUUCUUACGAAAUCACCAAGGAGAUAAUAGCAAUGCUAUGGUUACAUACAAGGUUGCAAUUUAGGAAGAAGCCACCUAUAACGCCAUCAAGGUUGCCUCGCCAAAAUAUAGCCUCUUAAAUAUUAGCUCAAAACCCGAAAUAUGAAGUAAUAGGACAUCCUUGAUCAGCAAAAUCCAAAUGAAAGUGAAAAUAAGAUGUCCUGUGAUUUCUAUUGCCUAUAAACCCCAAUGCAAAAGAUGCUUUCGUAUGAAAUCCUAGUUUCUUGCCAAACCAUAAAACAAAAUUCCCAAAAUAAAGUAAGCAAAUUGCCAAAACAAAAAAAGAAAUCAAAUGUAAAGAAUAGCUUUGAUGGAAAACAAAUAAAAAAAGGGAAGCAGGGAGAGUUGAGAGUCCUCAAUAAAGAGAAAUGAGAGAAAGGCUUGCAAAUUUUGAGGAAAAAGGGACAGAAAAUAUAUUGCUGAAAAUAUGAUAAUUAAGUGUAAUCCAAUGACAAGACAACGAGAAGGUACACGGCCCAAAAAUCUAAGGGUUGAGAGAGAUCCAUUAGAAAAAAUGGUAAAUUCUGUAGUGUAUUCACAUAUUCCAAAGACAGGUGUGGAAAGUAAAUUAUAUGGCAAAGAAGCUGGCACGUAGCAACCUGACAUGUACGAAGAUGAAGGGAAUGUUUCUAAAAAAGUAAGUGGUGACCUAUAACCGCGGUUUAGAAAUGUGAAUGUAGCGUACUGCAGAAGUUGGAAAUGUAUUGGGGUAUGACGGAAUUAACAUAAAUAUAAUGGGCCUACGAAUAAAACACCGAAAAGGAAGCAUAAGCAGUACUAUCUAUUUACGGGCAUUACAUCAACAAAAUACUAUCUAUUUAUGGACAUUUUACUCUGAAUCAUUACAUUUAUGUAAAAUACAUAAAUAUGUGUAACUAAAAUUGAAGAACUGUUACACUAAUAUUUUUACGAAAGGAAAAUUGGUUGUCCUGUAUUUAACAUAAACUGAUUUUUAUGAAAGUAAAAAAUAUAUUGCCAGUAACAUACCUAUUAUUUAUUAUUUUUUUUUUGUAUUACAUCAACAAAACACUAGCUAUUUACGGGUAUUUUAUUCUGAAUCAUUACAUUUAUGUAAAAUACAUAAAUAUCUGUAACUAAAAUUGAAAAAGUGUUACACUAAUAUUUUUACGAAAGGGAAACUAGUAAAUUUUGUAUUUAAUAAAUUUUAAAUAUUUGAAAGUAAAAAAGUUUUGCCCAUAACAUACCAACUCUUUAUGAGUUUUUUGCAUUACAUCAACAAAAUACUAACUAUUUAUGGGUAUUUUAUUCUGAAUCAUUACAUUUAUGUAAAAUACAUAAAUAUUUGUAAAUAAAAUUAAAAAAGUAUUAUACUUAUAUUUUUAUGAAAGGAAAACUAGUAGAUUUUACAUUUAACAAAUUUUAAAUAUGUGAAAGUAAAAAAGAUUGCGCCCAUAACAUACCAACUCUUUAUGGAUUUUUUUGCAUUACAUCAACAAAAUACUAGCUAUUAUGGGCAUUUUACUCUGAAUCACUACAUUUAUGUAAAAAAAAUAAAUGUUUGUAAUUAAAAUUGAAAAAGUGAUACACUUAUAUUUUUACAAAAGAGAAAUUGGUAAAAUUUGUAUUUAACAUAAAUUAAAUAUGUUAAAGCAAUAUUAAAGGUGAUUUUAUUAGUUACUUAAUUUGUUGGUAAGAAACAAGGUUUCUUUUGCAAAAUUUGUCCAUUAGAUUUUUUUUUCAAAUAAUUAGGAUAUAAAGGUAAAUUUUCACAAUUUUUUGUUAGCAAUAGGCCCCAAUUUCCUCCUAGACAGUGACGAAGCCAAGAUUUUUUUACUUUGAGGGAGGGCCAAAAUGAUUGACAAAUAAAAUUAUUUUAAUAUAUUAUGUUCAAAAUAAUUUUCAUCUAUUUAAAUAUAUGGUAUCCUAAAAUAUCAAAUAUUAACUUUAAUUAUAAAGGUAUGUCUAUUUGAUAAAUAUGUAGUUUAGUCAUAACUAAAAUUAAAACAAGAAAUAACAUUUGAUUAAAUAUCUUAUAGGAAAAAAAUGCACUUUUUUAUCCUCAAAAUUUGGGUGGUUGACCAAUUUCAUCCUCAAAGUUUCACCCCAAACAUAUUGCAUCCUCAAAAUUUCGUAAUUUUGGCCAAUUAAGGACAAUUAACGAGAAAUGAAGAAUUGAUCGUUAGAACAAUGAUUUUACUCAACAAAAAAUUGAUAAAACCGAAUGGAGCCAUUUUUAACGGAACAAUUGCAACGCAUAAAAAGCUCAAUUCUUCUCCUUCUUCUCUUUGCUUUUCUGUAACCCCAAAAUUUUUUUGCCAAUCUCUGGAGUUUUAAUGACCGUUAUACAACUUUCAAAACAAAUAAAUUCAUUCUAAAUUUUUAUUUGGGAUUAUUUCAUAAAUCAAAUCGUGGUCACUUUCCGUAAAGUAUCACUUUCCCAUAAAAGACUAGCUCUUUAUGGCUUUUCUCCAUUAGAAGAACAGAGUACCUAUUUUUUCAUAAUUAAAUUUAUUUAUCGAAUAAAAUAAAAAUAAAUUCAUUUUCUAAUAAAAGACUAGCUCUUUAUGGCUUUCCUCCAUUAUAAGAACAAAGUACCCAUUUUCUCAUAAAUAAAUUUAUUUAUCAGAUAAAAUAAAAAUAAAUCUAUUUUUCAAUAAAAAACCAACUCUUUAUAACUUUCCUCCAUUAUAAGAAUAGAGUACCCAUUUUUCCAUAAAUAAAUUUAUUUAUCGGAUAAAAUAAAAAUAAACCCAUUUUUUAAUAAAAGACCAGCUCUUUAUGACUUUUUUUCAUUUUAAGAACAAAGUAUCCAUUUUUUCAUAAACAAAUUUAUUUAUCAGAUAAAAUAAAAAUAAACCCGUUUUUUCAAAAAAAAAAAACAUCAGCUCUUUAUGACUUUCCUCUAUUAUAAGAACAGAGUACUCAUUUUGAAGGCAAAAAAGGAAUUUGUUUAUCGGAUAAAAUAAAAAUAAACUCAUUAAUGUCAAUAAUGAGAUAUAGCAAAAUGGUGGCCCACCUCUCUCAAUGUGAUUUUCAAUGGGAUAAGAUUUGCACGGUACAUGUAGCAAAUUGUCAUGGCCCCUGUUCCUUCACAUGUGUGUAGAGGCGGUAAUUGUCAUGGAUUGCUUACAACUUAUUCCCUCCAAACCUUUUCUUAUAAUGGAGUUUCUGAUUUUAUCCAAGUAAUAAAUUACUUCAGUGAAAAAAAGGAAAAAUAGAAAAUUUAUGGAGGAAAGUUACAAAGAGUUGGUGUUUUAUUGGAAACCAUCGACCCCUUACGAAAGACGAUCAAAUGCAGCUAAAUGAUUUUCUUGCAAGAAAGUUGCCGAAAGCAGCUUUGUGACUGUAGUUGCUAUUUUUUUUUCAACCAUUUUUUUAGCAAGAGGUAUCACUAAUGUCAAUAUUGAGAUAUAGCAAAAUUUGUAUACGAAAUAACAAACCAAUUUGUCAUUACAAAUACAAAACGAGCAAUAAUAUAUUACAACCAAUACUAUCAACAGUACAAAGCACAAAGAUACUCAAAUCAAAUCCUAAUUGGGCUUUAAUAUGUACAACCAAAAUUGCUAGGGAUAACAAAUGCUAAGAUAGACCCUGUGCCGAUAUACAAUGAGUAUCAUGUUUGCAUUAAUUGACGAAGUCCAUAAUCGAAGUAGCUUGUAAGAGCUUCAUAGCCAUGUCAUGUUUGCUCUCCUCCACCAUUUUUUAUUUCUUCAAUUACAUGCGUAUCCAUUACUGAAUAAACCAAAACACAGAGUCAAAUACUACUAGAGAGACGCGACUACAUAUAUAAACCUCCUUGGAGGAAAAGAAAUACUCUGUACAGAUUAUAAAUCAAAUGAAAAUGACAUUUUACAUUUCUGUUGGUCAGAAACUUUUAGUGAAUAUCAAAUUUUGGUUCAAGACUAUUAAAAGGACCGGUUACCUGAGCUGGGUGAUGGUGUUUCAUGUCUAAUAGAUUCUCGAGGUCUACUAACAGUGUCUUGUUCAUUCCUCGAAGAUGAUGAUUGACCACCUGAUGGCGAUGCUGCAUCCCUCAGGUUGAAGAAAGUGGGACUCUCAUGAUUGUUCAAAUCAAAUGCAGCUUUGUUUUCACUUGGGUCAUCAAACACAGAGAUUCUGGGUUCAAAAUAUGGAGAAUCCAAUGUUAUCUCUCCUUGUUUACUCAGGAAGUUAAGACGAGGAUCACAUUGAAUAAGCUUUUCGAAAUGCUUUCCCAACAAGCCUUGUGGACACUGCAGAAAAUGACGCCUGCCAGAAAUCCCAGAAAAAAUGCCAAUCAACGGUGAGUCAGACCAUUGCUGUUAGUCUCCAGAGAUUGAGCAAAACAACGAAAAGAAAAAACUGUCACUUAAAAAAAAAAAAUUUAGAGCAUCUCUCAUCUCUUAAUACCUUUAGUAUCAAAAAGCUACCAAAUAUAUUUCAAAUGUCCAAUUCGGGAUUACCCCUCUCCCCUGUUUCUUCUCCCCCACCCAAUAAAAAAAAUCAUCUCUUUGGUGAUAAAGGGAGAAAUGCUAAAAGCACAGAAGGCUAGAAUAGAGUAAGUCCAACAAUUGAAAUUCAGUCGUGAGUCGCUGAUACUCAUAAAAGUCAACAUUUCGCUCUAAAAGCUCGUAAGAUAGGAACUUGGAAGUCAACAUCAGAGAAGAGAGGUGUAUGCAGACUAUUAUUCAGAUACAUCUGCGGUCAAGGCAGUAUAGCUGUGGUGAUAACAAAUCGCUAUCUACAUAAUGCUGAGAUGUUACUGAGAAAGUCAAAGAACCACCUAAGAAAUAACAAAUUGAUGAAGUAACUCAAAUGGUACAAAUCAAAAUGUGGGGGUGGAGAACAAAAAAUCCUUGCUACAUAAAUAAACAAAUAGGACACAUACAGUACGGAACAAGUAGCUUGUUGCCUAAAAAGUGCCAUUUAAAAAUGGCAACACAAUAAACUCGUGAAUGAAUGAGAGAUUACCAUACCUUUGUAUGCUGGCCUGACCCCCAGUAAAAUCAGAUGUUGCCUGCCACAGGGUAUGCUUCCUGGGCUGUGGAUUUGUCUCCCUAAAGAAAAGAGGUUGUCUUGCAAGCUACACCAUUAAAAAAAAACUGUUUUCACUAUAAAAAGUUCAUAAUAACGACAUACAAAGUAAUUAACAAAGACACAGUAAGUGUUGCUAAUACCACUACAUCCAAAGUCCCCGAUCCGUCAUCAGGAAUUCGCCUUCAAAGCCAUUAUAUCAGACCAUUGAAUUUCAAUCUUAUUCUUGAGCCCGCCAUCAAGAACCUCCCAUACAAGCUUAUGCUUUGCAAAAUAACACUUUGCUACCAAAUCCCCUUCAUAUCUUGACUUAUACUAGAAAUUAGAACAAAGACAUGCAAUCAAAAUUAACGAAAUCAUAAGCAAUCCAAUAAAACAAGUUUCUAAAAUCCAUGAUCAAAUGAAAAUGUAUAAAUAUACCUCCCAGGUCCCAAUUCGCAGAAUAGUUGCUGGAAAAUUUGAAGCCUUGAGCUUCUCAGAGGAACCAGAAGCAGCGGCCCCUUUAAGCUCUUUUUUACUGGAACUUGCACCCUUAGGUGAAUUAGCUUGAGAAAGCCUCAUUUGGAUCAAUUCCAAAAGGGAAGGACUUUUCCUCAGCCUCAAUCCCAAUGGAUUCGGCUCGUCUAAUGGGUUAUACUGAGCCGGCGGUGCCACCGGAAAGCCACCCACUUCCCCACUUCCCUGCUGCUACAGUCAAACCCCCCUGAAAGUACAUCAGAAAUUGAACUUUCAAUCAUACAGACAAAACCACAUAGAAUAAAACCAGGAAAAAAACCCAAAAUUCACACAAACUCCUAAAAAGUGAUAGAUGUUCAAGAUCCAAUUUUGACGGGUCGUUUCAUUUUGCCUUCCAGUAAGACCCAUUUCUCUACUCCAACUGAGAUGCCCAUUCACUCUAAUCCACUGAAGUAGAAGCCUACAAUUUCAAAAAGUUUAUCUUGCGAUUGUUAAAUUGACCAAAAAUGCAAGAAAAAGGCAAUUGACAAAACAGAGAUGAAAAUAACAUAUUAAAAAACCUACACCAUCGCUUUUCCUUGAAGUCUGCCAUUGCAUCGAAAGGGUCUUUAAAGUGUGUCCAUGAUUGUAUAAAUUCAGAUCUGGAUGCUAGAGAGGAAGAGGGGAACCAUAUGUCUACGGGAAACUGAAAAUUGAUAGAGAGGGAAAGAGAGAUAGAAGGAGAAACCGCCCCUGUUUGGCAAGAAUUUUAACCGAAAAAAGUCCUUGCCCUCGCAGAGUAUAUGAUGGCUCCAAUUUUUGGUGAAGUAUUGUCCUUUUCCUUGCUAUAAGUCUCUUAAUAGCGUCAACCUUUCUACUUCUUCCUAAAGUUGUUGUCGCUAAUACCCUUUUUUGUUGUAGUGAACGAAGGAAAACUAUAAAGAAUUGGUGUUUUAUUGAAAAAUAUAUUUAUUUUUUCAACCAAUAAAUAAAUUUAUUUAUGAAAAAAUGGGUACUUUGUUCUUAUAAUAGAGGAAAACUAUAAAGAGUUGGUGUUUUAUUGAAAAAACGGGUUCAUUUUUAUUUUAUUCGAUAAAUAAUAUUUUUUUAGAAAAAUGGGUACUAUAUUCUUAUAAUGGAGGAAAGUCAUAAAGAACUAGUUUUUUAUUGAAAAAAGAGUUUAUUUUUAUUUUAUUUGAUAAACAAAUUUGUUUAUGGCAAAAUGAAUACUCUUUUCUUAUAAGGGAAGAAAGCCAUAAAGAGUUGAUGUUUUAUUGAGAAACGGGCUUAUUUUUAUUUUUUCGAUAAACAAAUUUUUUUAUUUGAUAAAUAAAUUUGUUUAUGGCAAAAUGGGUGCACAAUUCUUAUAAUAGAGAAAAGGCAUAAAGAGUUAGAAUUUUAUUGAAAAACGGGUUUAUUUUUAUUUUAUCCGAUAAAUAAUUUUUUUUUAGAAAAAGGGGUACUUUGUUCUUAUAAUGGAGGAAAGCGAUAAAGAAUUGAUUUUUUAUUGGAAAACGGGUUUAUUACAAUUUUAUUCCAGCCAACUGUGACCCAUUUUCCCACUAACCUAAGGUAGACGGACUAAAUCAUUGAAUUCGUUAACUACAGUCAAAAUUAACACAGAAGCAACUGACUCAAAUCACUCAAUCCUUUAUGACUUAUACCAAAUUAAUACUAGAAAGCUUAUUUGAAAUAACAAUAAAAUAUUUUAUAAAUGAUUAAAACUUAGUACAUUAGUUAGUAAGUACUCGUAACAUACUUGUAUAAUGCAUGAUUAUAUGUAUAAUUUAAUAUUCUUUUGUACUUAUAUAUUUUAAAAUAUUCUGUGAAAAAUAUUUUGACCUUUCACAUAACCUUAGAAAAUAAUAAAAUUUUAUCGUAUUAUAAAAUAAUAAUUUUAUUUUAUUAUAUUCAUAGGUGUUAAAUUAUAAAAAUUGUGAUAUAGAAACAAGUGAUAUUCUACGUGUAACUAGGAAGAUUUGUUGUUAUUGUUAUCCAAACUUUCAAACUUUUCAAAAAUUGAAAAUGAAUACAAACUUAUGAUAAGACAAAAUUUUAUUAUAUAUUUUACAAGGUUACUUUUCAUAGUAUUUUAAAAUAUAUAAAUACAAAAAAUAUUAAAUUAUACCUAUAAUCAUUUAUUAUACAGGUAUAUUAUGAGUACUUACUAACUAAGAUUUAUCCCCACAUUUGUAUAGUUUGUUGUGACAAUCAGGUUUAUUCUCACAUUUGUUUGAGUUUUGAUUACAAUGGAUAUAAGCUAUUCCCUCCAAACCCCAAAUUUUGAAUUAUAACAUUCAACCAAAACAUGCUCAAACUCUCAGGCUCGGUCGUACAAGGACAGCUAGUGUGAAUAUCCGUGCUACACACGGUGCUUACAUUGUUAAAAUAAAUCAAAAGAUUAUACCAUUUUAAUUUGAAAAAAAUUAAAAAAAUUAUACCAACAUAAUUAAAAUUUAAGAUUUGUCUAACAAUAGGUCAAAGUAUGAAGAAAACUGUAAAUCAUUCAAGAAUUGUGUUUUUGCAAAAGAUGGAUCUUAAAAUAAUAAUAAUAAUUUACAUUAGAAAAUGAAUGAUAUAUGGAUAGAAAUAAAUGUAAUUGCAUUUUUUUUAUUUUAAAAUGAAAUACUUACCAAUAUUAUACAUUCAAUUUGAUAAUCUUAUAGAUAUAUGCAUUAUGAGAAUAUAUAUAUAUGUAUAUGUGUGUAUGUGUGUGAAUUAACUACCUUUGAAUUAAUUUUUAUUAAAAAAAUUAUUUAUUUUUAAUGCCUUUAUAAUUUGUGAAUGAUUAUGAGAGUAAAAUAUAUUAUGACAAUAAGAUAUGUUGAAUUGUGAAAAUUGUAAUUUAAACAGGUUUCUAAAUUUUGGAUAUUUGACUUUCGUAGUUGCGAAUUUUUUAACUUAACGGUUAGUUAUUACUCUAAGUGAUAUGAUAAGUGUCAGUAAUAAAUGUGAGAUGUGAAUUAGAAUUUGCAGAUAUCAUUUUACAGGGGUGGUUAUUAUCCGUUAAUUAAAGUUUAGGAGUUUGAAUUUUAUGGGGUAGUGGAAAAAACAUGAGGAAAAUGUGAAAAAAAUAUAAGCAUGAUUAUAGGAUUUGUAGGGCCGGUUACAUGAUUAGUUAAGAGAUAAAUAAGUUUUAAUUAUAAAAAUGUAAAAUUCUAUUAAAAUAGCAUUCAGACUUUUGAUAAUUUUGGAAGUUCCUUAUCCAAAACCCCCUCAGCAAUACAUAUAGAUAUAGAUACUAAACGAUAGUUAUGAUAGCGAAAUAGUUUUUACCUGAUAUAACAUGUUGUUGUACUUUUAGCGAUCAUUUGAUUUAUUGUUGGACCUAUUCACCUAAAUAAAAUAACACCUAAAAUUAUGGAAGUAAGUUUCCUAUCUAAAAUAGUAAGUUAAGUGUAACAGAUUAGUAACUUUUAUACCUCAAAAGGUAAAUUGGAAUAAAUAUUAAACUUAAUUUUUAAAUAAAUAGAUUACUACUUGAUAUCCCAAACUUACUUUUAAAAGAGUAAGUUUAGUUCAAAUAACAGUAAGUUUUUAUACAUAAAUAGUAAUUCUUACUAAUAACAUGGCAAUAAAAAUGAUUAAGGAUCAAAAUUUACCAUUUUUUGGAAUGCAUGUACAAUUUUUACAUUAAAACCUUAUCUCAAAGUAGUAUUAGAAAGUUUAUUUGAAAUAAUGAUAAGAUGUUUUUAUUAAUGAUUCAAACUUAGUACCUUAGUUAGUAAGCACUCAUAAUAUACCUUAGUAAGUUUAAUUCAAGUAAUAGUAAGUUUUUAUACAUAAAUAGUAAUUAUUACUGAUAACAUGGCAAAUUUGAUUAAUAAUCAAGAUUUAUUGAUUUAUGGGACGCAUGUACUAUUUUACUUUAAAACUUAUCUCAAACUAGUAUUAGAAAGUUUAUUUGAAAUAACGAUAAGAUGUUUUAUCAAUGAUUAAAGCUUAGUACCUUAGUUAGUAAGUACUCAAAAUACACUCGUAUAAUACAUGAUUAUAGGUAUAAUUUAAAAUUUUUUGUACUUAUACAUUUUAAAAUACUAUGAAAAAUAGUAUGAACUAAACCUACUCUUCAAAAAGUAAAUUUCGGAUAUGCAGUAGUAAUUUAUUUUUAAAAAAUUUAAGUUGCAUAUUUAUUUCAAUUUACGCUUGAACAUACAUCGAUCGGUGCUCUAUGGAUGCGUCCAAACUCCAGUGAAUGUCUUUAAACUAAAUUCUAAUCAAAGUAGUAUCCAAAAUGUAAUGAUUCAGAGUAAAAUGUCCAUAAAACUUAGUACAAGGACAGCUAGUGUGAAUAUCCGUGCUAUCCAUAAUAUUUAUGUAUUUUACAUAAAUGUAAUGAUUCAGAGUAAAAUGCCCAUAAAUAGAUAAUAUUUUGUUGAUGUAAUGCCCAUAAUCGGUGGCCCCAGGAUGGCUUUGUUUAGUAAUUAGUACUGCUUAUGCUUCCUCACAAAUGUUUUAUUCUUAGACCCUUUAUAUUUAUGUUAAUUCCGUGACAUCCCAACACAUUUUGAGCUUAUACAGUACACAAUAUUUCCAAACCCCGGUUAUAGGUCUCCACUUGCUUUUGUACAAAUAUUUCCUUCUUGGUCCAUACAUGUCAGGUUGCAACGUGCCACUUUCUUUGCUAUAUUAGAGCUGGUCAAGAACUGGUCUCUUAUUAGAAAAUGGAUUUAUUUUUAUUUUAUUCGAUAAAUAAAUUUAGUUAUGAAAAAAUGGAUACUCUGUUAUUAUAAUAUAGGAAAGCCAUAAAGAACUGGUUUUUUAUUAGAAAAUGGAUUUAUUUUUAUUUUAUUCGAUAAAUAAAUUUAGUUAUGAAAAAAUGGGUACUCUGUUCUUAUAAUGGAGGAAAGCCAUAAAGAGAUGGUAUUUUUUGGGAAAGUGAUACUUUACACAAAGUGACCGCGAUUUGGUUUAUGAAAUAAUCCCAAAUAAAAAUUUAGAAUGAAUUUAUUUGUUUUGAAAGUUGUAUAACGGUUGUUAAAAUUUCAAAGAUUGGCAAAAAAAUUUUGGGGUUACAGAAAGGCAAAGCGAAGAAGGAGAAGUAUUGAGUUUUUUGUCCGUUGCAAUUGUUCCGUUAAAAAUGGCUCUAUUCGGUUUUACCCAUUUUUUGUUGGGUAAAAUCGUUGGUUCAAACGAUUAAUUCUUCAUUUCCCGUCAAUUGUUCUUAAUUGGCCAAAAUUACGAAACUUUGAGGAUGCAAUAUGUUUGGGGUGAAACUUUGAGGAUGAAAUUGGCCAACCACCCAAACUUUGAGGAUGAAAAGUGCAUCUUUUCGUAUAAGAUAUUUAAUCAAAUGUUAUUUCUUAUCUUAAUUUUAGUUAUGACUAUACUACAUAUUUAUUAAAUAGACAUACCUUUAUAAUUAAAGUUAAUAUUUGAUAUUUUAGGAUGCCAUAUAUUUGAUAUUUAUGCUAUUUAUGAUUUUUCUCCAUUAUAAGAACAGAGUUGAUAAGUCAUAAUUUGUGCUAAAUUUAUAAUUAUUUUUCCCUUUGAUUUUAGCCAAAUAUUAUCUUAAUUGAUAUAUUCUACUAAUAUUUGGUAUUUGGGAUUAAUUGCAGGAAGUGGUGAAGAAAAAGUACUGAAAAUCGUCAUUCCAGCAGAUUCCCUGAUAGUUUGGCGUGCCCACGCCUAACUCCAGCUUUCAAGGACGGAUUUUCGGGAUGAUUUGCACACGUGAAAGCUUCCAAAACUAAAUAAAGCAGCGGACUACAAUGCUGAAAAGCAGUGGGGCCAUUUCAAAAGCUGAAGAAAGCUAUCUAUAAUAGGAUUCCUAUUGUUUAGGAAAAUUGGUACUCGGGUACCAACUUUGAAGGAGAGAAAUCAGGAUGGGAAUCUGUUUGUUCUCUCGGUGGGCCUGGCCUAAAAGGAAAUGGAUUUCCUUCAUCCCUUUGAGUGGCUAAAAACGUAGAGCAUUAGGAGGCUUGGGGAGGCUUGUCUUUAAAUAUGUUUUUACUUGGAAAAGCUGGGGGGAAGGUACGGAGGUCGGGGACUUUUCCUCCGUAGCCGACUUUUACUUUUCUUCCUUGGCCGAUUUGGCCAGGAACAAUUUGGUAAGAUUCAGAUAGCUUUUUCGCAUGGUUGUUCUCCAUUAAUGGAGAACUAACCUUCUAAUUCUAGUCAAGGAACAACUGAAGAUUUGGUUCUGCAAUUACUGUGAGAUCGAAUUUAUUUUAAUCGCUUUCUCAUUUAUUGGUAUUUAUAUGAUUCCUGUUUUUAAUUGUUAUAGCUCUUGUGUAUGAUUGAUUAGUGCGCAAUAAUUAAUUAUUCAUAUAGGCUAUUUUGCUAAAUAGGGGUAAUUGAAUCCGUAAUUGUUCGUUACCUCUAUCCCAGUAGCAACUGGCGUAAUUGGGUUUAUGUCAGGGAAACAUACGAUCUAAUUUAAACAAACCCUCUUAGCGUGUUUGUUAGUUAGGAUUGGGCCUUUCUAAUUUUUAAUGCAAUCUAGAAAUUAAAUUCUACGGUCGUACUUAGGAUUAUUUUUGGGUUAGAGAAAUAGUUAACGGUCGUACCUUAACUAUCGAGAAAAUAAGGAAAGGUUGGUUGUUUAUCGCGUGUAUGACAACUAUAACCACUCUAGUAAUAAAUGUUGGAAUUAUCUUUGAAUCAAUGAUCAGUGUGUGAACCAUUUCUGAAGUGUAUUCUUGGCUAGAGUUUCUCUAAGUAUUUCUUUCAAUUAAUUAUUCUCUGCAUUUAAUUUCUUUAGUUAGCAUUUAAUCCAAGAACCCCCCACACUUUGGAUUCUAGAAGAAACGAAUUAUCCCCAGUCCCUGUGGAUUCGACCCUACUCACCGCUAUAUACAAAAUCUGUAUUUUUCUCGAGUAGGUAUUUAUUAUUGUACAGGUUCGGCACCUGUCAAUUUUUGGCGCCGUUGCCGGGGACUGGUGCCAGAUUAAUUUGUUUCUUUUUGAGUUCAUCUUGUUUUUAUUUUUAUCUAUUUAUUUUUCUCUUAUUUUUUAUUAUAUAGUUUAUGACUUCUAACACUCCGUAUUUUGGUGAUUUACUGAACUUUGUUUCCGAGGAAGGCAAUGAGACUGAUUUUUUUCUAAGUUUGCAUAUUUAGAGGCACUAAACUCUAUUAGAGAAAGAAUGGCUGCUGCAACCUAUGAAAUUUGUUAUGCCAGGGAUCAUUCGACCGGUAUGUGCCCCGAAUAUCAAGAUAAUCUGAGUGUCCCACUCAAUAAUUAUGGAGAUUUUUCACCAUGGUCUCAAACGUGGUAUAACCCUAAUCCAAACGGGUAUGAUCAAGGAUGGUGGGAUAACUCCAGUUAUAAUUAUACAACAGGGCCAAUGAAUUUUCAGCAGUAUGAGUCUCAAGAAUCAUCAUCUAUGUCAGGUAUGUCUCUUGAAGAAAUAGUUGAAUUAAUAGCUAUUAACACAUAUCAAAUUCAACAGGAGACACAUCAACUUCAACAGGAGAUAAUAGAUUUUCAUCAGGAGACACAAGUGAGCAGGCGUAACCUAGCAGAUCAAAUGGAUCAAUUGACAUUUAGGAUAACGCCAUUGGCUUCUCGAAUGAAUGAAGAAUUGCCCUCACAAACUAUUAUCGACCAUGAGGAAGAUGAGAGUGCAAUUAUCCUGACGAAUGACAUGGUACUGCAAGAGUCUCAAGAAAAAGAAUCUAAAGAUGUAGAUGAAAAGAAAGUUGAAGCACAAGAAUUGAGACCCCAACAUCAAAUGGUUCAAGUGAAUGAAUCCAGUGAACAAUCUCCAAAUGCGGUGACAUCUCCUCCAUUCCUUGAUCAAUAUUUUCCUGACUCUUAUUCUUUAAUUCCUGUUAGUGAGAUUGAUUUAAUUAUACCAGAAAAUUUUGAGUUUCAUGACAGGAGCAAGUUAAGAGUCACGAUGGCAAAAUAUCUCAAACCAAUAAGUGCUUGUGAUGGAGGAGUGAAUGAAGAUUUAAUGUCAUUAUUUGGUUGUUUGGCGCAAUCUACUGGUCCAUGGAAGACCGUAGCUCGUGUGCUCAAGAAUUACUCUAUUUACGAGGGCUAUCAGGAUUACAUAGAAGAUGAAGCACUGAAGCGAGCUACGCGAUUUUAUCCUCCAUGAAUAAACAGGACAAUGUCUAGCCAAAGACAUUAAAGAAAGACGCUGCUUGGGAGGCAACCCAAGGCUUUCGUUUUAAUUUUCUUAUGUUUUUGGAGUUUUUGUUAAGUGUUAGUUGCGUUUAGUGAUUUGUUGCUUGGUGGCAGGAAAUUGGCAAUUAGACGUGACCACGCUAAGUGGUCACGUAUGCGGAAAAGAGUUGGAAGGCAACGGUCAGAAGACUCUGUAGCAGUUAGGCGUGCCCACGCUAGGUGGUCAAGCUAAAGGAUCAAAAAUUUUCGACGGAUGUUCAAAAUACUAGGGGCAGUUAGGCGUGCCCAGGCCUAAGACUGGGGUUCUUUGUUUACCCAAAAAAAAAAAAAAUUUUCCAAAGGACCCGGAGCCUACUCUUUUUCUUCUUAUUUCUUUUCUUUUUCUUUCUUCUUCUUCCUUCUUUUCUCUUUGUCUGCCGCAGCACCUCACCUCACUCACACGCCCACCACCACCAUAGCUCCUCCGUCCGCCGCUGCCAACUCCUUUUUCCUCUUCUUCCUUUGCCUUCCUGUUGUCGCCGCGCGCCGUCCGCCAAUGCCAGGUGAUCCCGCAGCAGCACCAGCAGCGGCGGCCCUCCAGCUGAACCAGUCGUGCAGCAUAGCGCGCGACACCUCCACACCAGCGGGCAUCUGCACAACAGCAGACAGCGCGAGCCCAGCGCGCGGGCCUUGCGCGCUUUGAACCAGCGACGACCAGGUGCGACCUGCGCAGUCCCAGCAGGAGCAGCUCGCCCCCAUCGCGCGCGACUCAGCCCAGUAGUCCGCCACCACGCCCAAAGUAGCUGUGCACUCGCUGCGCGCCUGAUCCAGCCUCGCGUGUCCAUCGCGCUCGCGAGUCGUUUGACCAGCACCAGGCGGAGCUCAGAACCACCAGCAGGCGCACGACCUCCGCUGCGCAGCACCUCCAGCGCGCGUUCCAGUCUCUUUCAUUCGCAGCGAAGCCACAGCGCGCCUGUCCAAGCGCGUGAAACGCACGCGCGGUGCCUUCAUCCUCUUCCGUUGCUGCCUCCGCUCUUUCGCCACCCCCUCUGCUUGCCCAAACACCUCUGGUGAUUUCAUUCUUUAAUUUUCUGUCAAUAAGUAGCUGAGGCCAGAUUACUAGUUCUUUACUAGCUGAUGCCAGAAUUUUACUUUCUUAGCUGAGGCCAGAUUUUUUAUUUGCUAGCUGAGGACAGAAAAUUUGUGCUUGUUUGGGUGCUGUGUCAUAUAUGUGGAUUGAUUGUUGAUUAUUUGGUUAACGUUGUGCCCAACCAGUGAUAUUUGGGGAAAGUUUUUACCCUAGUUGCCUGUUUAAUUAGUUUUGGGGGGAAUUUUGCUAUGUUUAUCUAAUUAAUUGAUUUUUGGGUUGAAUUGGUAGUAUUUGGCAAAAAUCUUGUCGUUCACAGGUUUAAUUAGUUUUUGGGGUGAGUUUAUUAUCCGUUUCUGCACUUGUUUGUGAUUGGGAGCUGUGACUGGGGGUCAUUUGCCUUGUUGGUUGUUUGUUGACAUAUUUUGAACACCAUUACUUUGCCUUUGUCUUGUCCACUGAUAUCCAAUGACCAAACCCAAGAACAAAGGCAAGAGCAAACCUUCCACCUCUACCCCACUGCCCACAGUCCCCUCGAGUGGAUCUGCCCCCUCAAUUUGACCGAGAGGACCCCGGACUGUCCUCUGCGGCACCUCCACCGUCUUCCUCCGCCGAUAGCCAGCUUGCAGUCCUUCGGCUCCAGAUGCAGCACAUGGACACUCGUAUGGAGCGGAUGGAGCGUCAAAUGGGCGGGAUGGCCCAGAAUUUAACACAGUAUCUCCAUCACGUGGGUUUCCGCCCGCCUUUCCCUCUCUAGCCGUAGUUCAGUUCUGCCCUCCUCAGUUUUAAGGGAAGUGUCGUUGCCCCAAUAUCUCUGUUUUGCUCUUUCUUUGCUUACAUUGAGGGCAAUGCAAGAUUUAGGUGUGGGGGGGUAGUAUAUUGGUAUUUUAUUGAAAAAGUGCAAGUGUAGGCAUUUUUGUUGGAAUUUUUUGUUUGACUUUGUCGAAUUUUGUCCAAUUUUUGCCUAUCUUUGUGCUUAUUUGUGAUUAGUCCUGAUAAACGAUGGUUAGAUGUCUCAAAUUUUUCUAUUGCUAAGAUUUUACACUUUAAGGUGUUGAGUAUGACAUGGUUGAUUUUAAGGGUAUCUUUUGGGUGAAUAUUUGAAAUUUUGUGACUUUUGCACUUUUUGGUUAACUUUUCUAAGUAUUGUAAAUAUUUGUCUAGCAUUUUUUUUGUGCAAAUUGGUUCAGCUAUUAAUCUUAGUUCUCCAUGUUUAAGAAAUGAAGCGGGUUUGUGUGGUAUUUAAUUUUAUUUUUGGUGCUUAUUUAUGAAUAGUAUUCAGCUAUACUCCGCUAGUAUCGUUGUCUAGUAACCGGAGGUCUUCACCACAAGUGUCGACUUUCGCGUCAAAAAGCAACGAUAACUAUGAGUAUGUGGUUUUUAAGCGAUGAUGGCUGAGUAACCGGGCUCCUUCAUGUGGCCAAUGUCGGAGUUCGCGUCAAAAUGCUUGAAUGGCUGAAAACUAAGCAUUCCCCCGAGAAAAAAAAAAAUCAAGUGGAGAUAUUAAAAAAAAAAAAAGUGCUAAUAGUGAAAAAUAUGAAUGAAUUGCUAGCCCGCUGACCCAUGAAUUUUAUUGUUGAGAUUUUGCUUAAUAGUUGAACCAUUUGCUUUUGGAUGCGGGUUGAAUAUUUUAUAUUCUUAGAUUAGUUAGUCAUAAAUUGAAAGAGUCCUUAAUCUUCAAAACUAACUGGAGAGAUAUUUCUUGAAAAGUGCCACUAAUACUUGACAUAAGUUUUAAUUAUAUCGUGGCAAUAAAAGAUUUGAGCAAUAGCCAUUGUUUGAAUUUGAUUACUUGAUUUAUGUUCUCAUGCUUGAGGACAAGCAUGGUUUAGGUGUGGGGGAAAUUGAUAAGUCAUAAUUUGUGCUAAAUUUAUAAUUAUUUUUCCCUUUGAUUUUAGCCAAAUAUUAUCUUAAUUGAUUAUUCUACUAAUAUUUGGUAUUUGGGAUUAAUUGCAGGAAGUGGUGAAGAAAAAGUACUGAAAAUCGUCAUUCCAGCAGAUUCCCUGAUAGUUUGGCGUGCCCACGCCUAACUCCAGCUUUCAAGGACGGAUUUUCGGGAUGAUUUGCACACGUGAAAGCUUCCAAAACUAAAUAAAGUAGCGGACUACAAUGCUGAAAAGCAGUGGGGCCAUUUCAAAAGCUGAAGAAAACUAUCUAUAAUAGGAUUCCUAUUGUUUAGGAAAAUUGGUACUUGGGUACCAACUUUGAAGGAGAGAAAUCAGGAUGGGAAUCUGUUUGUUCUCUCGGUGGGCCUGGCCUAAAAGGAAAUGGAUUUCCUUCAUCCCUUUGAGUGGCUAAAAACGUAGAGGAUUAGGAGACUUGGGGAGGCUUGUCUUUAAAUAUGUUUUUACUUGGAAAAGCUAGGGGGAAGGUACGGAGGUCGGGGACUUUUCCUCCGUAGCCGACUUUUACUUUUCUUCCUUGGCCGAUUUGGCCAGGAACAAUUUGGUAAGAUUCAGAUAGCUUUUUCGCAUGGUUGUUCUCCAUUAAUGGAGAACUAACCUUCUAAUUCUAGUCAAGGGACAACUGAAGAUUUGGUUCUGCAAUUACUGUGAGAUCGAAUUUAUUUUAAUCGCUUUCUCAUUUAUUGGUAUUUAUAUGAUUCCUGUUUUUAAUUGUUAUAGCUCUUGUGUAUGAUUGAUUAGUGCGCAAUAAUUAAUUAUUCAUAUAGGCUAUUUUGCUAAAUAGGGGUAAUUGAAUCCGUAAUUGUUCGUUACCUCUAUCCCAGUAGCAACUGGCGUAAUUGGGUUUAUGUCAGGGAAACAUACGAUCUAAUUUAAACAAACACUCUUAGCGUGUUUGUUAGUUAGGAUUGAGCUUUUCUAAUUUUUAAUGCAAUCUAGAAAUUAAAUUCUACGGUCGUACCUAGGAUUGUUUUUGGGUUAGAGAAAUAGUUAACGGUCGUACCUUAACUAUCGAGAAAGUAAGGAAAGGUUGGUUGUUUAUCGCGUGUAUGACAACUAUAACCACUCUAGUAAUAAAUGUUGGAAUUAUCUUUGAAUCAAUGAUCAGUGCGUGAACCAUUUUUGAAGUGUAUCCUUGGCUAGAGUUUCUCUAAGUAUUUCUUUCAAUUAAUUAUUCUCUGCAUUUAAUUUCUUUAGUUAGCAUUUAAUCCAAGAACCCCCCACACUUUGGAUUCUAGAAGAAACGAAUUAUCCCCAAUCCCUGUGGAUUCGACCCUACUCACCGCUAUAUACAAAAUCUGUAUUUUUCUCGAGUAGGUAUUUAUUAUUGUACAGGUUCGACACCUGUCAAGAGUACCCAUUUUCUCAUAAAUAAAUUUAUUUAUCAGAUAAAAUAAAAAUAAAUCUAUUUUUUAAUAAAAGACCAGCUCUUUAUGACUUUCCUCCAUUAUAAGAACAGAGUACCCAUUUUUCCAUAAAUAAAUUUAUUUAUCGGAUAAAAUAAAAAUAAACCUAUUUUUCAAUAAAAGAUUGGCUCUUUAUGACUUUCCUCCAUUUUAAGAACAGAGCACCCAUUUUUCCAUAAACAAAUUUAUUUAUCAGAUAAAAUAAAAAUAAACCCAUUUUUUCAAUAAAACACUAGGUCUUUAUGAUUUUCCUCCAUUAUAAGAACAGAGUACCCAUUUUGAAAGUAAAAAGGAAUUUGUUUAUCGGAUAAAAUAAAAAUAAACUCAUUUUUCAAUAAAACACCAACUCUUUAUGACUUUUCUCCAUUAUAAGAAAAGAGUGCCCAUUUUGUCAUAAACAAGUAACUUCUUUAAUUAGAAACCAUCGACCCCUUACCAAAGACGAUCAAAUGCAACUAAAUGAUUUUCUUGCAAGAAAGUUGCCAAUAGCAGCUUUGUGACUGUAGUUGCUACUUUUUUUUUCAACCAUUUUUCAACAGUACAAAGCACAAAGAUACUCAAAGCCAAAAGCCAAAAGCCAAUAUCUUUUUUCCCUAAACAGCAAUUCUACAGCUAAAAGCCAAAAGAAAAAUGAAAAAUGUCGAGAGCUCAAUUGCCAACAAAGCUCUUCUUCGCAGCAGCAUGUUGGGCCAACCACAGUACUCGCACGUACUUUCCUACAGCUCGUCCUGCAAAAGGGUGGAAGUAAGAGAGUUAAAACAAUUGAAAUUUCUGAUAACAAAUCAUCAUGGUUAACUCAGCACUGAAGGAUCAGACAAGCCCUUACUUUAACAUUUUCAUCAGCUGCGGCAGUAACAUCUUCCUUUGUUUCUGAUUUGACGUCUGCAUCAUCACUAUCUGCUUCAUCAGCAGCAUCAUCAUCAUCGCCUUCCUCAGCCUAAAAGAACAAGUUUUUCCCAUUAAGAAAGUGCACGUAAUAAGAACAUAUCACAGAUAAAAUCUAGAGCAAAAAUAGUCUCUUUUGAGAACAACAUUUAGUCAGGAAGUUAUAUAAGAAUCGACUGGGUCAUCCUUUGCUUCCUGAAACAAAAUCAGACAGGAGUUUGAGAUAUAAGUUGUCUCUUCAUAAUCAAGUGAUCACUGUUCAAAUAAUGCAGUAUAAAGGAAGUCCAAAGUCCAAACUAUACAGAAAUGGAAUUCAAAUGUACUCAAGACAUCAUGCAAUAGAGGAGAAUUAAUGAAAAGUACCUCCUCCUCUCUCUUCUUUUCUGCCUCAUCAAAAGCAGCUUUUUCAGCCUACAACAUGAACAUUUUCAUGUGUCAACAAGCAGACGAAAGUAAUUUAAACCUUUUUAUUUUUUUAUUUUUUGUGCAUCGCUUGGGGAAAAAAAAUUCCACAUACAUCCUUAUGCUUGCCCCAUGUCUCUUCAGCCAACUUCUUAGCAUAUUCAGGAUCAUCAGAUACCAAUACAUUGUCAAAUAGAGUUCCAGAUUUCACCUGAAGAGAUACCAAUACAUUGUCAAAUAGAGUUUUUCUUGCGAUUGUUAAAUUGACCAAAAAUGCAAGAAAAAGACAAUUGACAAAACAGAGAUGAAAAUAACAUAUUAAAAAACCUACACCAUCGCUUUUCCUUGAAGUCUGCCAUUACAUCGGAAGGGUCUUUAAAGUGUGUCCAUGAUUGUAUAAAUUCAGAUCUGGAUGCUAGAGAGGAAGAGGGGAACCAUAUGUCUAUGGGAAACUGAAAUUUGAUAGAGAGGGAAAGGGAGAUAGAAGGAGAAAGGUGCAGGGGAGGUUACGAUUGAACUUUCGAGCGCUCUGAUCUGAGAACAAUAUUUGGGAAAGUAGCCUUGCAAGUAUGGAAGGCUUGGAAUUCAUGUGGUGCUAGGCUUGACAAGUGCUGUGCUGGGAAUGGUUAAAAAAUUUUCAAUGCGCGGCUCUGCUAAAAAUUGGAAGGGAGCAAAAUUUUGAAAUUUUCACAAAAAAACACCCAUGAUUUCUCACCAAUAACAUAGAAACUUUGGCCCACUAGAAUCAGUAUUUGGAGGGAAGCUUUCCCGCUCUCCUUUUGGCGAGAAUUUUAAGCGAGAAAAGUCCUUGCCCUCACAGAGUAUAUGAUGGCUCCAAUUUUUGGUGAGGUAUUGUCCUUUUCCUUGCUAUAAGCCUCUGAAGAGCGUCAAGCUUUCUACUUCUUGCUAAAGUUGUUGUUGCUAAUACCCUUUUUUGUUGUAGUGAAGGGAGGAAAACCAUAAAAAACUGGUGUUUUAUUGAAUAAUAUAUUUAUUUUUUCAUCCGAUAAAUAAAUUUAUUUAUGAAAAAAUGGGUACUCUGUUCUUAUAAUAGAUAAAAACUAUAAAGAGCUUGUGUUUUAUUGAAAAACAGGUUCAUUUUUAUUUUAUUCGAUAAAUAAUAUUUUUUUUAGAAAAAUGGGUACUAUAUUCUUAUAAUGGAGGAAAGUCAUAAACAACUGAUUUUUUAUUGAAAAAAAGUUUAUUUUUAUUUUAUUCGAUAAACAAAUUUGUUUAUGGCAAAAUGGAUACUCUUUUCUUAUAAGGGAGGAAAGUCAUAAAGAGCUGAUGUUUUAUUGAGAAACGGGUUCAUUUUUAUUUUUUCGAUAAAUAAAAUUUUUUUUAUCCGAUAAAUAAAUUUGUUUAUGGCAAAAUGGGUACACGGUUCUUAUAAUAGAGGAAAGGCAUAAAGAGUUAGGAUUUUAUUGAAAAAUGGGUUUAUUUUUAUUUCAUCUGAUAAAUAAUUUUUUUAAAAAAAAUGGGUACUUUGUUUUUAUAAUAGGGAAAAGUCAUAAACAGUUUAUUUUUUUUUAUUGAGAAACGGGUUUAUUACAAUUUUAUUCCAGCCAACUGUGACCCAUUUUCCCAUUAACCUAAGUUAGAUGGACUAAAUCAUUGAGUUUGUUAACUACAGUCAAAAUUAACACAGAAGCAACUGACUCAAAUUACUCAAUCCUUUAUGGCUUAUACCAAAUGAAUACUAGGAAGCUUAUUUGAAAUAACAAUAAAAAUAUUCUAUAAAUGAUUAAAAUUUAGUACAUUAGUUAGUAAGUACUCGUAACAUACUUGUAUAAUGCAUGAUUAUAUGUAUAAUUUAAUAUUCUUUUGUACUUAUAUAUUUUAAAAUAUUUUGAUCUUUCACAUAACCUUAGAAAAUAAUAAUAUUUUAUUUUAUUAUAAAAUAAUAAUUUUAUCUUAUUAUAUUCAUAGGUUUUAAGUUAUAAAAAUUGUGAUAUAGAAACAAGUGAUAUUCUACAUGUAACUAGGAAGAUUUGUUGUUAUUGUUAUCCAAACUUUCAAAUUUUUUAAAAAUUGAAAAUGAUUACAAACUUACUAUUCUACAAUUAGUAUAAUUUGUUAAUUAGCCAAAAUUCUAGAAAAAGGCAAGCAAAUGCAACUUGUAAUCAAUCCAUUCUGAUGCAUGAAAAAAUAAGGUAGCAUUGUGCAAAUAAAUAAAAAAAUCCACUUUAUAUAGUUCGUUGUGACAACCAGGCUUAUCCCCACUUUUGUUUGAGUUUUGAUUACAAUGGAUAUAACCUAUUCCCUCCAAACCCCAAAUUUUGAAUUGUAACAUUCAACCAAAACAUGCUCAAACUCUCAGGCUCGGUCAUACAAGGACAACUAGUGUGAAUAUCCGUGCUACGCAUGGUACUUACAUUAUUAAAAUAAAUUAAAAAAUUAUACCAUUUUAAUUUGAAAAAAGUUAAAAAAAUGAUACCAACAUAAUUAAAAUUUAAGAUUUGUCUAACAAUAGUUCAAAAUAUGACAAAAACUGUAAAUCAUUCAAGAAUUGUGUUUUUGCGGAAGAUGGAUCUUAAAAUAAUAAUAAUAAUUUAUAUUAGAAAAUGAAUAAUAUAUGGAUAGAAAUAAAUAUAAUUGCAUGUUUUAUUUGAUUUUAAAAUGAAAUACUUACCAACAUUAUGCAUUCGAUUUGAUAAUCUUGUACAAAGGUGCGAACAUUUUUUACACCAAUCAACUUUUAGUAUGAAAAUUAAUAUUGGUGGUUUAAUUAAUUCUAUUGAAUUUUGAAGAAUUCGUACUACACAAAAAGUUCAGCAAGACUUGUAUUUUUUUUUGAAGUGAACUUGUUGCAUCUUUUUAAAAUAUUUCAUUGGGAUCACUAUGGUGUGAGAUUCGCUUUGUGAUUAGUUAUUGUUUUUCUUUGUAAUCUUGUAGGUUUGAAAUUAAGAUGCCAUUGAAAUCAAUAAUGGAACCAAUGGGGGCUAAUGGAGGUCAUAGCCCUCCUCCCCAAGUUUUAAAAAUUUUAAUUCAUAUUAUAUAAAUAUUUGUGUAAAAUAAAACAGGUCCUCCAAAUUUAUUAUAAUUUUAGUUUAUAUUAUGAGAAUAUAUAUAAGUAUAUAUGUGUACGUGUGUGCGUGAAAUAACUACAUUUGGGUGGGAUCACCAUAGUGUAAAAUUCAAUUUGUGAUCAGUUAUUUUCUCUUUUGUAAUCUUACAGGUUUGGAACUAAGACGCUAUUGAAAUUUGUUUGGAUAGAGAGUUAUUUAAAAUAUUAUUUGAAAUAAUUGUGAUAGUACUUUUUGUUAUAUGAUGUAUGUGAGAUAAAAAGGUGGGUUGAAAAAUGUGUUUAUAAUGUAAGCAAAAUAUUAUUUGGAAAAAUCUGCUAUCCAAACACUCCCAAACUAAUAGGGACUAAUCGGGGCCAUAGGUCCCUUCUUCCCAAAGUUUUAAAAAUUUUAAUUCAUAUUGUGUAAAUAUUUGUGUAAAAAAAAGUUAGCCCUCCUAAUUUUUUUUAUAAUUUUAGUUUAUAUUAUGAGAAUAUAUAUAUAUAUAUAUAUAUAUGUAUAUAUGUAUGCGUGUGUGUGUGAAUUAACUACCUUUGAAUUAAUUUUUUAUUAAAAAAUUAUUUAUUUUUUAAUCCCUUUAUAAUUUGUGAAUGAUUGUGAGAGUAAAAUAUAUUAUGACAAUAAGAUACGUUGAAUUGUGGAAAUUGUAAUUUAAACAGGCUACUAAAUUUUGGAUAUUUGACUUUUGUAGUUGUGAAUUUCUUAAAUUAACGAUUAGUUAUUACUAUCAGUGAUAUAAUAAGUGUCAGUAAUAAAUGUGAGAUGUGAAUUGAAAUUUGUAGAUAUCAUUUUACAGGGGUGGUUAUUAUCUGUUAGUUAAAGUUUAGGAGUUUGAAUUUUAUGGGGUAGUGGAAAAAACGUUAGGGAAAUAUGAGAAAAAUAUGAGCAUGAUUAUAGAAUUUGUAGGAGCGGUUACAUGAUUAGUUAAGAGAUAAACAUUUUUUAAUUAUAAAAAUGUAAAAUUCUAUUAAAAUAGCAUUCAAACUUUUGACAAUUUUGGAAGCUCCUUAUCCAAAACCCCCUCAGCAAUACAUAUAGUUAUACUAAAUGAUAGUUAUGGUAGCGAAAUAGUUUUUACCUAAUAUAACAUGUUGUUGCACUUUUAGCGAUCAUUUGAUUUAUUAUUGGACCUAUUCACCUAAAUAGAAUAACACCUAAAAUUAUGGAAGUAAGUUUCCUAUCUAAAAUAGUAAGUUAAGCCUAAUAAAUUAGUAACUUUUAUACCUCAAAAGGUAAAUUGGAAUAAAUAUUAAACUUAAUUUUUAAAUAAAUAGAUUACUACUUUAUAUCCCAAACUUACUUUUAAAAGAGUAAGUUUAGUUCAAAUAACAGUAAGUUUUUAUACAUAAAUAGUAAUUCUUACUAAUAACAUGGUAAUAAAAAUGAUUAAGGAUCAAAAUUUACCAUUUUUUGGAAUACAUGUACAAUUUUUACAUUAAAACCUUAUCUCAAAGUAGUAUUAGGAAGUUUAUUUGAAAUAAUAAUAAGAUAUUUUAUUAAUGAUUAAAACUUACUACCUUAGUUAGUAAGUACUCAUAAUAUACCUGUAUAAUAAAUAACUAUGGGUAUAAUUUAACAAACUAGAUUUACGGGUCUUAUUUAAAAUAAAGCUUAAAUUUAUUAAAUUCUUCAUUUUAUAUGCUUACAGUGUUUAAGUUCUCCGCCAAGCUUCGCACCUUUUUUGUUGCACUUACUUUCACUUACGACCCUCUCACUUUGACAGUUGCUUAUUUUAGGCACUUCACAUUUCACUUUUACACUUUGAAAUUCCCUCAACUUUUCCUAUCCCUUUUCCACUUAACUUCAAUGCCCAACAAGUCUUCAGGUUCCAGGUCACAAAAGACCUUUACACGUGUCUAUCCAACACACUUUCCCUACCAUUUGUGGCCACAAUCAUACCGCAGCAACUUUCCACACCUCUUCUCUGACUCCUAAACAUACCGCAACAACAUCCUAGAAAAAAUAUUGAAUCAUGGUCAAUAAAUAGCACAAAAGUGGCUGAUUUUGGAGACAAACAUAUCAACUUUGAAAGGCAUGUCUGAUUUUGAUGGACUACAAGUACACCUAAAAGUUGGAGAAAGACAGAAUUUGGAGGAAAUGCAUGGUCGUCUUCUAUGACCAUCAGAAGCAUUCUCUGACUCUAAGUAGUUGAGCUCCAUUGUUAAAAGUUUAAAGCCCAACUAAGAAUUGACCUUGAUGUCGUUUGAUGACUCAAAUGCCGAGUGACCCUGCUGGAGAAAAAUCUCUCCAUUCUAGCUGCCACGUAUCACCUAAUAAGGGUUGCUAUAGUGAAAGAGGACCCUUAUUUACCUAGUAAGUAGAUAUAGAUAUUUUAUUAUAAAAAAAGGUUAAACUUGAAAAAAAAGUGUUGUCGGAUGAUUGAAUCUAAGAUCUCUCUAAUUUUUAGAGUCUCAUGGAAAAAAAGUAUUGUCGGAUGAUUGAAUCUAAGAUCUCUAGUUUUUAGAGUCUCAGCUUUAACUGCGAAAUUAAGAUCCCCUCAGUUAAUUGCACCUAGAUCUAAUUUAUGACACACGUGAAUUCCAUCAUUUAUUUAUACAUGAAAGGCCUCUUAAAAGUAAUACAUAAAAAACCUCUUAAAACUAAUACAAUUUAUAGAGAUUUUUUUGUAGGGAUAUUUUUUCUAAUUUAUUAUUUGGGAAAAAGGAGCAUAAAACAACAUAGUAACACAAUUGUAUAUUUUAUUAUAAAAAGACAAUAAACUCAUACAAAAAAUAUUGUCGGUAAAAAAAAAAUUUUGUGAUUAUUAUUAUGCAUUGAAAUCAUAGCAAUAGCAUUCAAAUAGCAAAGAGAAUAAACCCCCCCCCCCCCCCCCCCCAAAAAAAAGAGAAAAGGAUAUGAAUUGUUUUUUAAAAAAAAAUAACAAUUCCAUCCAAGAGGUUAAAACAAAAAAUAGAUUGCACUUGUAUCUAUUUUUUUUUUCCUAGUAGAGGAUAGGUGGAACUAACAAGGAGAUUUAUACUUAGAUCCUCUAAUUUCUGGAAUCUCAAAUUUAACUACUAAACCAAGACCUCAGAAACUGAUUACACCUCUAUGUCUUUUAGUUAUACAUGAAAGCCCUCUUAAUAAAAGUAAUAAUAAGGAUUGCAGCAGCACUACAAUCAUAUAUCAAGCUUAUUUCUUUUCCUUAAAUUGAAAAAGCGAAGGCCUUAAUAAAACUCCGGGCACAAAAAUGAAUACAAAUUUGUUGCAAAGUGGGUAAAAAAAAUUUGUGAACAAUUUUUUCUCUAACUUAUUAUUAAAAAUAGAAAGAAAACAACUGAGUAAUACAAUUAUAUAUUUUAUUAUAAAAAAGCUCACAAAAAAUUACAAUUUAGGCAAAUGAUUAUGACAAAGAUGCAAUAAAAUGGGUAGUUCAAAAUCUAGGAUGAAUUUUUUUCUUAAUCUAUCAUUAGAAAAAAGCAGUAAACAAUAUAGUAACACAAUUGUAUAUUAGGAAAAAAAAAGAAUAAACGUGCACAGAAAUUUUGCACUAAAAAAGAAUGUUUUUUUCAAUUAUUAUUACAUAAGCAAUAGAAUUCAAAUAACAAAAAAAAGAAAGAAUAAAACCCCACAAAAUAUAGAAAAAGAUAUCAAUUGUAUAUAAAAAAAGAAAAAAAGGUAUAAAAGAAAAGAAAAAAUAACAACCCCAUCUAGCAAGGGGAAAAAGGGGAUCCUAUCCGUAUUUAAUUUGUAAGAUACAGGGGAAUAUCGUAAUUCAUAAAAAAAAAAGAAAACAUUUCAAAAGCAAUAAGCAUUCCAAUAGCAGCACAAUUAUACCAUCAUUUACUAUUUACAUUUACAUAAAAAGGUAAGAACUCUAGUAGAAGUGCUGCUAUUAUUACCGAGUGCUGCUAAGAUAAUAAUAGUAAUAUAAUAAUAAAAGUAACAAUAUGGUAAGCAAUUUAAUAGCAAAAAGUUUUUGGAAAAAAAAGGAAAAAGAAGGGGGAAAAAGAGCAAAACCGGUAAGAAAUGCGGCACCACCACAGAUAUAAUAUAAUUUAAGAAGAGUACCGCGUAAUAAUAAAGAAUUUUGGCAGACGCAAUUUCUUUGGCAAACUAUUUUUCAAGAAAAAGAAGAAAAAUACAUAAUAGCACAAUUGCAUAUUCUAUUAUAAUAACCAAAAUAUUAUGAAAAACAAUAACCUUGAGAAAGAAUAUUUUCGGUAAAAAGAAAUAAACAUGAGAAUUAAAGUUAAUUUCUGAUAGGGUGCUAAUUGUUAGUAAUUUUAUUGUUAAUUUCCCCCUUUGUCCUUGCCAAAUAUUGUUUAAAUUGUUAAUAUAUACUUAUAUUUGGUAUUUGGACCUAUCUACAGGGAAGUUGAACUGAAAUAUACUAAAAAGGAGGACCUGUUGAGGAAAAUUGCUCCACACGUGGGAGAUUCCAAAGAGCUUCACAAACCCGGGCCCACAAGGUGCCACAGACGAUUGCACCUCUUUUGCUGAUUAGAAGUUUUCCUAUGAAGAGGAAACUAAAAUCAAGGACUUCGGCAGAGCUCCAAUUCUUUGGCCUUUGGACUCUCAAUUCGGUGGGGACCACUAGAUAGAUAGCAUUGAGUCAUUUCUUUUGGCUUUAAGGAAACAAACGUACAGAGGAGAAGAAAGGCAUUAGUCUUUGUGGCUUGUUCCUUAUUCGUGGGGACCACGAGACGAGUAGUAGUUUUUGUUUUAGAAUAGGAGAGCUUCGUUUUGUUUUUGUUCUUGCUAGUUCCUUCGUAUUCAUGACUAUAUAUAGCUUCUUUGCCGUCUCUUCUAGGGGGAUGACGGAAACAUAGCUUGUUUUCAAUAAUUACUUCUGCACUUUUGAAUGGGAUUUCCUCCAUGAAGAUGAACUAAUUCAUUUUUUCUAGUCGAAGGUCAAUUUGAAGAUUCGGUUCCGAACAUCUGUGAGAUCUAAUUAUUUUAUUUAUUUCUUUUAUUUAUUGGUAUUUGUACGUUUCCUGAUUUAAUUGUUUAUGAUUGUUUUGUUAUUUGAAUGUCAAGGGUCCGAUAUUCGAAUUAACCUAAUAAUCUACUGUCAUAUUAAUUGAUUGAAUCCGUAAUUGUUCUAUCGAUUAAUACCAGUGGCGACUAGCGUGAUUGGUUUCAUGUUAGGGAAACGUAUGAUCUAACUUAAACAAACCCUCGUAGCGUGUUUGUUGGUUAAGGUUGGGCUUUUCUAAUUAUUAAUGCAGUCAAGUAAUUAAAUCCUAUAGUCGUACCUAUGGUUAUUUCUUGGUUAGAGAAAUAGUUAACGGUCGUACCUUAACUAUCGAGAAAUUAAGGAAAGGCUGGUUGUUCAUCGCGUCUAUGGCAACUAUAACCAAUCUAUUAAUGAGCAAUUGAAUUAUCUUUGCGUCGAUGAUCAGUUGCAUGGACCGUGUCUGAAAAGUUGUAGCUUUGGCUAGAGUCAUAUUGGUUAUUGAUUAAUUUCCAUUUAUUUCUAUUAGUUGUUUUAUUAGUUAGUUAAUUAGUUAUUUUAUAUUCUUCAAAAACCCCCCAUAUCUGGAACUUGAGAAGAAAUUAAAUUAUCCCCAAUCCCUGUGGAUUCGACCCUGCUUACCGCUAUAUACAGAAUUUGUAUUUUAUUUGAGCAGGUAUUUAUUAUUGCACAGGCUCGACACCCUGUCAAUUUUUGGCGCCGUUGCUGGGGAUUGGUGCCAGAUUAAUUUGUUUCUUUUUGAGUUCAUCUUGUUUUAUUUUUAUUUAUUUAUUUUUCUCUUAUUUUUUUUAUAUAGUUUAUGGCUUCUAACACUCCGUAUUUUGGUGAUAGACUGGAUUCUGUUUCCAGGGAAGGCAAUAAGGCUUGUUUUUUUGCUAAGUUUGCAUAUUCAGAUGCACUAAACUCUAUUAGAGAAAGAAUGGCUGCUGCAACCUGUAAAAUUUGUUAUGCCAGGGAUCAUUCAACCGGUAUGUGCCCCGAAUAUCAAGAUAAUCUGAGUAUCCCACUCAAUAAUUAUGGAGAUUUUUCACCCUGAUCUCAAACGUGGUAUAACCCUAAUCCAAACGGGUAUGAUCAAGGAUGGUGGGAUAACUCCAGUUAUAAUUAUACAACAGGGCCAAUGAAUUUUCAGCAGUAUGAUUCUUAAGAAUCAUCAUCUAUGUCAGGUAUGUCUCUUGAAGAAAUAGUUGAAUCAAUAGCUACUAAUACAUAUCAAUUCCAACAGGAGACACAAAUGAGAAAUGGGAUGAUGAAGGAUGCAAUGAGUAAUCUGGCAGAUCAAAUAUGUCUAUUGACAUCCAGAAUAAAUCGAUUGGCUUCUCAAAUUGAAGAAUUGCCCUCGAAAAUCAUUGUUGAUUUUGAAGAAAAUGAGAGUGCAAUUUGCUUGACUAGUGAUGAGGAGAUGUAAGAGUGUCAAAAUGAGAGAUCUACAGAUGCAGUUGAAAAAGAAGUCGAAAAGGAAGAAAUGGAACCACAACCGCAACCCAUUCAAGUGAAAGAAUCCAGUGAAGAAUCAUCAAAUGUGGUGACACCACCUCCAUUCCCUAACCCGCAUUUUCUUAACUCUUACUCUAUGAUUUCUGUUAAUGAGAUUGAUUUUGUUAUACCGGAAGUUUUUGAGUCUCAUGGCAGAAAUAAGUUAAGAGUAGCUAUGGUCAAAUAUCUUGAACCGUUGAGUGCUCUUGAUGGAGGAGUGGAUGAAGAAUUGAAAUCACUGCUUGAUUAUUUGGCGCCAUCUACUAGUCCAAGGAAAACCGUAACUCGUGUGCUCAAGGAUUACUCUAUUUACGAGGGUUAUCAGGACUAUAUAAAGGAUGAAGCAUUGAAACGAAACACAAGAUUUUAUCCUCCCUGAGCAAAGAUGACAAUGUCUAGCCAAAGACAUUAAAGAAAGGCGCUUUUUGGGAGGCAACCCAAAUAUUGAUUUUAUUAUUUUUCGUUGUUCAUUUCUUUCGUUUUUCGUUUCUCAGUUGAGUAGUAAUCGGUCUUCAUAUUUUUCUCCACUGUGGCAGGAAGUGCAAUCUUGGCGUGCUCACGCCAUGUUUGUGACUCUUGAGGUCAGUAGACGUUUAUCAAUUUUGGCGUGCCCACGCGGUGUUUGACGACCCAAAAACAAAAGAAAAAUUUUUAUUUUUAUUUUUAUUUCUCUUUAUUUUUUAUUGAAUUUUUUUGUUUUGAAAAAUAAAAAAGAAUACUUUCCAUUGUAACCUGCGAUUUUGUUUUGAAAAAUUCAAAUUUUAAACUUAAAAAAAAAAACUCCCCAAAAACUUUUUUUUUUCUCUUUUCUUUUCUUCUUUUUCUUUCUUUCUUUUUCUUUCUUUCUUUCUUUCUUUCUUCCCCACUGCCCUGCUUCCGUUUUCUUUUAUUUCUUCUUUCGGCUGCCCUUCAUCCGCCACCACCCACUUCGCAUCAACUCCCCAUCGCACACCGCUGCCCAUCACGAGCCACUCGCCUCGCCAUCCGCCGCUAGUGACGCCCUCCAGCAGCACCGCCGCACCACAUCGCAUGCCGCCGCUCGCCCACCCUCUUGGCCGAGCAGCGCAGCUCGUCUCUCUCCGCCAUUACCUGCCGCGCGCCACUGCCUCCCUCGCUCCCUCCACUGCUGUCCGCAGCUGCCUUGGCUCUCUCCACGAGGUGCGCAGCUCAUGACCACCGCAACCUCUCCUUCUCCUCUCACUCUCCCUCUCGAGCUCACACUCUACCUCGCCUCGCCAUCCAUCAGUUCGCUACCCACCACAUCAGCUCGACCUCUACCAUGGACCUCCACCUCCACCAGCUCACGGCCAACACCAUCAGCAGCAUCCUCCUCUGCUCCGCACACCGCGCGUAGCCCACGGACGACCAGCGCCGCCCGCUUCCCUCUCUCCCCGUCGCCCACGCCGAGCCUCGCUCUUCUCACCACCUGUCAAUUUUUGACUGGUGGAGGUAUUGAGUUUCUCCCCUGAUUAGCAUCCUUCUAGAUCUUAAAUUGCUGCAGUUGUGUCUUCUUCUGGGGUUUCUUGUUGAGCCAUCACAGGAGCUGUUUUACUUGAUUUUUCACUUGUGAUUUGUUUGGGGCUUCAUUUGCAUUUUUGGGGUUGAUUUGGGGUUUCUUGGCAAAUUGUUUACCGUUUUGUUUUCUUCUAUUUCUGCUCUGCUUGGUGUCGUGGGAUUUAUCAGUGAUUUGGGGUGGCCGUUUAUAACUACAUUUGUUGAUACUUGGUUCUAGUUGGUGGGCUACUUGAUUGAAAACUGCCAAACAUUUUGAUUUAGUUGUAGUCCAAAUUUUGAACUACUAUUGCUGGUUUUGACGGUUUCUUGGGUCAUUUGCUAAUUUUGGUAGGUUUAACUGGGUAUUUGACUGUCCAAUUGGAGACAGUUGUUGAGAUUUUGGGUGGGUUUGUGUCCAAUUGCUGAAAUUUGUUGCUUUGUUUAGUCACUCACACUGCUCAUAGUUUGUUCGAGUGAAAUUGGUUGGACGUCCCUUGCCUGUGGAGUUUAACUGUUACAUUGUUUGGGGUGAUUUUCUGGUAUUGAUCGAAUUGUUGGGCAUUAUUUGGGGUUUUGGCUGCUUGAGACCCUUAUUGCACCCUUAGUUGAGUAAUUUUCUGGGUUGGUUUGUUGAAUUAGUAUUGCCAUUGGUUGACUCUAAAUACCUUGUUUGGGGAGUAUUCGAUUUUGUGAUUUCAAUUGCUAAGCUCAUUGGAGCACUUGCAGCGAUUUUGAGUUGCAUUAUUUCUGCAUUGACUAAUAUUCAGACCACCAUUGCUUAUUGUUUGUAAUAGCUGCUUUGUUGAGACUUUCGCCUAGUCCUUCGGCGCCUGAAGUUUCCAUUUUCUUGAUUGGAGUGGUCCUUUUUGUUGCUUCAUUAUCUGUGCGAGGCACUAGUGGUACGGGUUGGGGUAUUUUGACUGCAUUUGUUCAUUCUCCUUGGUUGGCUGCUUGAUUGAAAGCUCAGAGCUUGUGACUAAGUUGUUAUUGCUUAAAUUCUAACCUACUAUUACUGGACUUGCUGAAUUUUAGGGGAAAUUUGUUGCGAUUUUGGGUAGAAUUGAGUUCAUUUGUUGAGAUUUGUUGAUUUAUUUAGACUCUAUUACCGCUUCUAGCCUGUUUGAUUGCCAUAUUCAUUGGAAUUGACUGCGUUCAAGCACAUUGUUGGAUGUCCUCGGCCAUUGAUUGAAACUGCUGCAUUGUCUGGAAAUUUGCUGGUUUGAUGUUCUCUGUUGCACUCUAGUUCGCCUGGAUCAAGACGCACGUCGGAGCUCUCCUUCCCUCUACAAUCUUUCACUGCCGCGCACUACCGUAGCACCAUUUUCACUCCACCGUUCCCACCUAUUCCAUAGCCGCCCGAGACCUUCCACCACGUAUUCAGGGAAGUGUAGUUGUCCUAUUCGCUUUCUUUACUUUAUGAUCUCCAUUGAGGACAAUAUCGGAUUUAGGUGUGGGGGGGAGAGCUGUGGUACAGCUGGUAUUUCUGGUGUUCAGUUUUUAGUUUUUUUUCCUUUAUUUUCAUUGUUAUUUGUUCUAUUUUUCGUUUAUUUUCUUUUUACUUUUAUUAGUGAUCAACUCUUUUGUGACUACCAAGGUUUGAUAAUGGUUGUUGUCUCUAAUUCUGAUAUUGCCAAGUUUUAGUAAUAAAAGGGUAUCAAGUUAAUGGGGUUAAGUUCAGGAACAUCUUUCUGGUGAAUAUCAGUAAUUGCUUGACUUUUCUAAUUUUUGGUUAACUUUUCUAGGCAUAGGGAAUGAUUGUUGGCAUUUUUUAUGUGAAUUGGUCCAGUUAUUAAAUUUAGUUAUCCAUAUUUGAAAAUUUGGGGCUGACUGCUGUUAUUUUUUGUGUUAUUUUUAGUUAUUGUGCUAUAUGGUUAUAAAUAAGAGGUGACUGUACUCCACUAGUUGUUACUACUGAGUAACUGGAGAUUUUCACCUAAAGUGUCGAUUCUCGCGUCAAAAGGUAGUAGUUACUAUGAGUGCGUGGUCCCGUAGCGAUUGGAGCUGAGUAACCGGGCUCCUUCAUCUGUCAAAUGUUGGAGUUCGCGUCAAAAGACUCUAAGGGCUAUAGACUAAGUCUUUUGUUACUAAAAAAAAAACAAAAAAAAAAGUAAAGUAAAGAUUGUGUUAGUAUGUGAAUAAGUCAGCUUGCCAGUUUGUGAUCUUAAUGUCGAGAUUUUGGUUAAUAGUUGGACCAUUUGCUGAUAAAUGUGAGCAACCAUUCCUUUUUCUUAGAUUAGUUUGAUUUAAAUUGAAGGAGUUGGUGGUUGGGAAGCUAACUGGGGUGGUCUUUCUUGGAUCUUAACUUGUGAUGCUUGAUAUAUAUUUUUCUGGGUAUCUUGGCAAUACGGUAGUUGGAGCAACAGCCAUUGUCAAAUUUUGGUGUUCAAUUGCUGUUCUCAUGCUUGAGGGCAAGCAUGGUUCAGGUGUGAGGGGAAUUGAUAGGGUGCUAAUUGUUAGUAAUUUUAUUGUUAAUUUUCCCCUUUGUCCUUGCCAAAUAUUGUUUAAAUUAUUAAUAUAUACUUAUAUUUGAUAUUUGGACCUAUCUACAGGGAAGUUGAACUGAAAUAUACUAAAAAGGAGGACCUGUUGAGGAAAAUUGCUCCACACAUGGGAGAUUCCAAAGAGCUUCACAAACCCGGGCCCACAAGGUGCCACAGACGGAUUGCACCUCUUUUGCUGAUUAGAAGUUUUCCUAUGAAGAGGAAACUAAAAUCAAGGACUUCGGCAGAGCUCCAAUUCUUUGGCCUUUGGACUCUCAAUUCGGUGGGGACCACUAGAUAGAUAGCAUUGAGUCAUUUCUUUUGGCUUUAAGGAAACAAACGUACAGAGGAGAAGAAAGGCAUUAGUCUUUGUGGCUUGUUCCUUAUUCGUGGGGACCACGAGACGAGUAGUAGUUUUUGUUUUAGAAUAGGAGAGUUUCGUUUUGUUUUUGUUCUUGCUAGUUCCUUCGUAUUCAUGACUAUAUAUAGCUUCUUUGCCGUCUCUUCUAGGGGGAUGACGGAAACAUAGCUUGUUUUCAAUAAUUACUUCUGCACUUUUGAAUGGGAUUUCCUCCAUGAAGAUGAACUAAUUCAUUUUUUCUAGUCGAAGGUCAAUUUGAGGACUCGGUUCCGAACAUCUGUGAGAUUUAAUUAUUUUAUUUAUUUCUUUUAUUUAUUGGUAUUUGUACGUUUCCUGAUUUAAUUGUUUAUGAUUGUUUUGUUAUUUGAAUGUCAAGGGUCCGAUAUUCGAAUUAACCUAAUAAUCUACUGUCAUAUUAAUUGAUUGAAUCCGUAAUUGUUCUAUCGAUUAAUACCAGUGACGACUAGCGUGAUUGGUUUCAUGUUAGGGAAACGUAUGAUCUAACUUAAACAAACCCUCGUAGCGUGUUUGUUGGUUAGGGUUGGGUUUUUCUAAUUAUUAAUGCAGUCAAAUAAUUAAAUCCUAUGGUCGUACCUAAGGUUAUUUCUUGGUUAGAGAAAUAGUUAACGGUCGUACCUUAACUAUCGAGAAAUUAAGGAAAGGCUGGUUGUUCAUCGCGUGUAUGGCAACUAUAACCAAUCUAUUAAUGAGUAAUUGAAUUAUCUUUGCGUCGAUGAUCAGUUGCAUGGACUGUGUCUGAAAAGUUGUACCUUUGGCUAGAGUCAUAUUGGUUAUUGAUUAAUUUCUAUUAGUUGUUUUAUUAGUUAGUUAAUUAGUUAUUUUAUAUUCUUCAAAAACCCCCCAUAUCUGGAACUUGAGAAGAAAUUAAAUUAUCCCUAGUCCCUGUGGAUUUGACCCUACUUACUGCUAUAUACAGAAUUUGUAUUUUAUUUGAGCAGGUAUUUAUUAUUGCACAGGCUCAACACCCUGUCAAUUUCUGCAUCCUUAUUUUUAGCUACUAAACUAGGACGUCGUCGUCAGCUGAUUACACCUAUUUAACUCAUAACACACGCAAAUUCCAUUAUUCAUUCAUACAUCAAAGAUCCUUUAUUAAAUCCCACAAUUCAGCAAAGACCUCUCAAAGGUACCACAAUUCAUAAAGAAUUUUUGCCAGUGUAAUUAUUUUGGCAACUUAUUAUUAAGGAAAAAAGGAGAAAACAACACAAUGGUACAACUUAUUAUUCUAAUAAUAAUAAUAAUAAAUUAAUCAUAAUAUGGCAAGCAAUUUAAUAGCAAGAGAAUUUUGGGGGGGGGGAAAGGAAAAAAGAAACCAGGGAAAAAAAUGAGAACAAAACCAAUAUAAGAAAUGUAGCAACACCACAAAAUUAUAUAUUCUAAUAAAAAUAAUACUAAUAAUAACUGUAAUACACACAAUACAAAAAUAAUAGCAUGGCAAGUAAUUAAAUAACAGCAAAGUUUGGGGAAAAAAGGGUGAAAUGAAGAGGGGGAAGAAAAGAAAUCCAGCACCACAACAAAUAUAAUAUUACACAACAAGAAGAAUAAAAAGAAAAAAACGGAAAGAUAUUAAGGGAUUUGGACAUCAUCAGUUUAAGUUGAAUUAAUCCACCAAAUGUACAUUGUAGAAAAUAGAGAGGAGUCUAAGUCCCUAAUUUAAGCACUCCUUCCCACUUAAUAUGCAACUUUUUUUUAAUAUACAAUAUUUCCAAAGGUCAAAAGUAACAUAACCAAGUUUUUUUCCAUUUUUUUCUUGUCUCUUCUUAAUAUUUGUUGCAAAAAGAAGAAGAAGAUAUUUUAACAUAUUAAUUAAUUGAGUAAAAAUAGAAGCAAUUUAGAAGUUUCUGUACUACUCUGACUGAAAUACAGAAAUGCCUUGUGGAAUGUAUCUUGCACACAGACGUGUGCUCAGCUAACUACAAGCAUCAUAUCAAUUUGCAGCAGAAUUAAAAAAAGGAAUUGAGACUGGUUGCAUCAACUCAAACAAAAAGGAAAAAAAAAAGGAAUUGCUUUCAAGAAACUUGAAUUAGACACGUUGUGAGGGGAUUGAUUCUGCUUCUGAGGGACUAGAUUCUGAUUCUUCUUUGCUGGAACUUCAUGCACCAACACAAUCUUCAAUUGAGAUCUUUAGAGUCUCAUUUCCCAUAUCUCUCUGUUCUUGUUGAAUUUGCUUCACUGAACUUGCAACAGACUCACGACACCAUCUCACCUCAAUCAUUUCGAGAUUCGCACAUUCCCCUAAACAAGAAGGCAACUCUUCCAACUUCGGACAACUUCGGACAACCAAUUUCUCAAGACGGGGAAAAUUAUCAAAAGAUGCAGUCCAGCUACAAAAGUCCUACAAGCCUCUCAAUUUCAAGAUUCGGAGGCUAGGGAACUCCACUUCUUUCAUUUUCCAUUCUUCCCCAAGGGCUGAGUAAACGAAUUUAAGCACUUCAAGAUUGGGCAACUCUCCAAUUGUUGAGAUUUCACUCCAUGGCUGAUCAGUCACUCGGAGUGUCAACUUCUUCAAAUUCAAUGGGAAUUUUAAUCCAUAUUCGUAUAAGAAACGCAGAGUAAGUGAUUCUAGUUGACUAAAAUAGUCAAACACGAGAAUCCCGUUGCCAAUUCUUGUAGCUUCUUCUCUUGAUUUCCUCAUGUUACAUCUCAGCCUGCGGAUGCUUGGUAACUUUGCCAGUGUCUUUUGCAAGCUUUGAGAGGAGGAAUCAAUGGCAAGGCUUAAAGUGUCUAAAUGAUCUAAACCUGGGGAUACUUCAAGAUUUUCAACAGGAAAAAUAAAACCAGCAUAGGAAUAUGUAAUCCAUAGAUGCCGCAAUGUCUUAAUGUUCCAGAUAGUCUUGGGUAACAAACAAUCAGCGUAGUUUCCUCGUCCCAGAAAAGUUUGUAACCUUGAGAGGUUAGCAAUUGCAGCUGGGACGAAACUUGCUUCUUUAGUACGAAGAGCCAAGUAUCUCAAGUGAACAAGCAAAAAUACUUCCAUAGGAAAAUAUGCACCAAACUCCAAUUCCCCCAAAUCCAACACUCUUAGAAGUUUAGGUAAUCAAAACCCCAAAUCAUCCUCCUUAAACAAUAACAAACUGCGUACAUUGGGAAAUUCUAGCAUCAACUCCCCAUUCAUCGGAUUACAAACUCGGUGGAGGUUGCUUGGGCUAGUAAGAACAAAAGGACCAUUCUGACUAUGCAAAACAUGUAGAAAGUUUUCUUCUUUGGCUUUUUUCACACAAAACUCAUGUACCAAAUCAUGAACUCGGCAGGCUUUAACACCACCCAUGGUUCUUUGUUUGGAAACCAUAACUAAACUUCUAUCAACUAUAUCCUUCAAGUAGUCAUCUGCAACAUCCUCUAAGCCUUUUCCUUUAGUCCUUUGCACGAAUCAUUCAGAGAUCCAAAGCCAUGACAACAUUUGGACAGGAACAUUUUCGUCUUCUUGAAAUGCACCAAGGUAAAGAAGGCAUGGCUUCAAAUCAUCUGGUAAAUGACCGUAACUCAACUCAAGCGUCUUCAUGCAGUAUUCAUCAUCAAGGACAAUACUGGAAGUUAGACUCUUUGUAACUUCUUCCCAGCAGUCUUCUGCAGUAUUAGCAAGAAUUCCAGCAACAAGGACAACCGUGAGAGGUAAGCCCCUACAAGAUUUUGCUAUUUGAGAAGCAACUCCACUUAGUCUUGGAGGACAACCUUCUUUGCCAAAUAGCUUUUUCUGUAGCAAAUUCCAACUCUCUUCAUCGGUAAGGCAGCGGAGAUGGUGAACCUUGCUAUGAGGUUUGAAUUGCAGAGACAAAUUCUGCAACCUGCUCGUGAUGAGAAUCCUACUUCCAUUGGCGUCAUCGGGCAAUGAUCUCUCCAACAAAUUCCAAGUCUUAGCAUCCCACAAAUCAUCCAAAACCAAGAGGUACUUAUUUCUCAACAAAACUUGUUUUAGCUUUACAGCCAAAUCAUGUUCAUCCAUCUUUCGACAUUGUUCAAGUUUUCCAGAAUCAAUACUAUCCAAUAUCUGAACUAACAUGUUGUGCAUACUAUAUGCUUGAGAAACAGUGCACCAAGCACGAAUAUUGAAAUGCAACAUUACUGAUGGAGAAUUGUAAACUAUAUUGGCUAAUGUGGUCUUACCAAGCCCAGGCAUACCCACGAUGGGAACAACGUCCAACUGCCUUGAUCCUCCUCUUGUAAAAUUAUCAGUGAUAGUUUUCACCUCGUCAUCGAGAGGCACCAGCUCUUCAUUGUACGCGGUGACAGUAACUUGUGAUGGCACGCGAGUGAAAGUCUUGGUAACUCCCUUGAUGGUUUCACCAACAUAGCUUAUGCUAUCAUAGAUCUCUUGAGCCUCAAUCUUCAUAACAUUGAUAUCUCUAGCAACAUCAUCCAAAAAAAAUUCACAUCCAUCACCAACAAGUGUCCAGUCG